CAACGAUCUCUUCGACCGCGGCAGAAAGGGGAGAUAGGCACACAUUAGUGAGAGAGGGAGGCGACGGUGUAUAGAAAAAGAUGAGGGAGGGAGAAUUGAUGAAUUAAUUGGAGAUGAAGAUAUGCGGAAUGCAGAUGGCGAAGGAUAAUUUGGAUGCAUUAAUUAGAAGUCUGGUGGAGAGAAGGAGGAGGAUCUUAAUGGAUUAAUUGGAGAGAAAGAUGUAAGGAUUGUAGAUGGCAGUGGAACCAUUUAUAUGCAUCAAUUGGAAGUUUGGUAGUAGAACCGUUUAAAUGCAUUAAUUAUAUGCAUUAAUUGAAAGUUUAAUGAAGGAAAUGGAGAGUGAAGGACAACUUGGCAUGGAGAAUGAGAAGGGUCACACGCUAGUGAGGGUGAGAAACAACUUGCCACGUGGUAAAAAUAUUGAGAAUUUAUAUAGACUAGUGUAGUCACCCGCGCGAUGCGGCGGAUAAAUAUUAUCAAAUCAAUCAUUAUUUUUAUAAAAUAAAAAAUAUUAGUUUAAAUGGGCUGUAAAAAUCGGUAAAAUACUAUUAAAGAUGACAUUUUUAUACUUAUUAACUCAACAAUUUAUAUAAUUAAACUCAAUAUUUCAGUCAAAAAAAUAAUAAAAUUAUAAGUAAGGAUAAAUACAAAAUUUACAAUUGAUUACACAUAACAAUUCAAAUAAAAGGAAUUGUUAAAGUUCAAGCGAGUGUUAAUUGAAAAUUAAAUAAAAUUGAGGGCCUAUUUCAAAUGGGCUAGAGAGGAUUUCUCAGUAAACAUUUUUACCAAUCUUUUUUUAGUAUUUAAAAAAAAAAAGCCAAACAAAGCUAAACCUGCACUUCUCCAGGCCUAAUUAUGCCCUUAUGUCCAGCAAAAUUUUGAUGAGUGAAUGAGCCCUGAAACCCCACAGAAAUAAUUCAGUGAACAUCUUAUAAGCAUCUACUACAAACCAAUCUGAAUUAUAACAGAGAUGUGUAACUUGAGUUACUUCUAGUAUAUAUGUAACAGUCUCAAAAAAAAAAACAUAAUUAAGCACAACAACACCUGAGCAGAAGCAAAUAUCCUAUAACAUAAGACCAUGGAUAAUAAGUUGUAAUUUUUCAAAACCAACCUCUAUGAGAGUGAUUAGAAAACCCAGCGGGAGGAGAAACUACAACAAAACAAAUUGUAAUUCAAGCAAAAAAAAAACCCCAACUUAAAAGAAAAGGAACGGUUGAGAAAAAUCAAGCAAAAUUUGGAAAAAUUUAAUGAUAAAAAUUCUAAAUUUUUUAUCCAAAUCGAAAAAAAAAAAGGUUUUCACAUCUUUCCGAUAAACCAAAAUACCUUCAAACUCAUUCAGGAGAGAAACUCAUUCAGGAGAGAGAAAGGAUCCAAGAUUCUCAGCUCAGCCUGCAAAUCACAUAAACCCCACCAAAUUAACACCCAAAAAAGAAAAACCAAAAGGUACAUAUAUAAAAAAAAGAAUGAAUUCAUAAAAAAGUCUCUUUUUGCUUUCGCAAUAAGUAAUCGAUUCAUCUAAAAGUUCGAUCUCAAUCAUUCAAUGAAUUACAAAUUUUUACACGAAUUACCUUUCAAUACUUCUCCUCAUGGUGGCGCCUUGUCUAAAAAAAAAAAAAAAAAAAAAAAUCAGCUACAGCCGUUGGCACCGAACCCAAUCCUUUGAUCGGAGAUAUCAUAAACGACGGUGAACUUCCUCUGCUGCGUGUUUCCGAUGAUGCUCACUUCGUCGGCCUUCGUGUUGCCAGCAAAUGCUAAACAAGCCUGCGAUGGGCUGCCAUACAUUAUCCCGUCGAACCCCAAAUUGAGGCUCGCCCCGCUGUCGAACACCNCUCGGAUUCAAUGGAGCUUGAAGUAGAGAAGAAAUCCAUGGAGGAAAGAGAGCUACCCACCUCUAACAGCGACUCCAAUUCCGGCACGGCGUCGAGAACGACGGAAACACUUCCUCGCCCGGCCUCCUCGUGAAACUACGGCGAUGCUCGUAUGCUCGGACGACUCCGCGGCGCGACGUCGACGACGGAAAGCUCCACACGAGCUCCUCCUUGCUCCCAACCGGCGAGAGAGAGAGAGAGAGAGGAGAAGAAGAAGCUGAGAAACCCACUUCUCUGUUUUGUAGUGAGAGAGAGGGAAAAGGGGUGAUAUAAACGAUGAAGAAUUUUACCAAGAAGCCCCCCCCCCACACACAGGACCUGGGGUCUCACAGAUCAUAUAAUGUAGAGGAGAGGGGAGGGGAAGGGGUGGAAAUUAAAGGAGAGAGAAUUAUUAAAAAAAUGAAAGAAUGAAAUGGUGGCUUUGAAAAGUUUAAUAGAUAUUCAAAGUUGGUACAGUAAUCAAUUAUGAUUAUAAUUGUCAUUAAUUGAUUAAACGUUAAUGUAGAUUACCAUUAAUUCAUGAAACGUUAAUAGAUCAUAUAACAUAGAGGAGAGGGGAGGGGAAGGAGUGGGAAUUAAAGGAGAAAUAAUUAUUAAAAAAAAACUAAAACAAAAUUUUCUAUCUAUUAACUUAAGAAUGAAGGGUUUCUUGCCACGUGGCAAGAAACAUUGUGGAUUCAUUAUGUUUAAUAGAUUAAUAGAUUAAUUAGAGAGAAAGAAGUAAGGAUUGUAAAUGGCAGUGAAAUUAUUUAGAUGCAUUAAUUGAAAAUUUGGUACGUAAUGGGACCAUUUAGAUGUAUUAAUUAAAUGCAUUAAUUAAAAGUUUGAUGAAGAGAAUGGAAAGGAUGACACCCUGGUAAGGAUAAAAGAUAACUUGCCAUAGGAAAUGAAAAGGAUCACACGAUGAUGAGGAUGAAUGACAACUUGCCAUGUAGAAAAAAUAUUAAAAAUUUAUAUAGGUUAAUAGAUGCGGUGAGAAACUAUAAUGAAAAAUAAAUUCGUUUAUUUUCAUCCGUAAUAUUAUUGUGAGACUCUACGGUAUGUUUUUUUUGUAGCACUAUCGAAAAAUAAAAUAAUAUAUAUUUUUACGCUUUCGUUGUUGCUUAAUUUAACUCAUAAAGAGGUGUGAAGUGAUGUUCCAUCGUAAAUGUUUAUUUUUGUUUUCGUUUCAGUACCCUUAUUUUUGACCGAAAUUUAAAAUUUUCAAAGAGCGUAAUUGUUUAUUUUAGGACAGAUUCCAAUACGAAAGAAAUAAUAAAAAUAUAAUAACAUAUUUCUCAUCUCUUAUCCCUCUAAUUAAUUUUUAUGUUAUUUAUAUUCUACUAAACAAAUAAUAAAUACGGAAAACCUUGAAUUGGACAACUACAUAAAUGAAUAAUAAAAGAAAAAACUAUAGUUUACAAGCAAAUAUAUUUUAACUUGAACUUUAUUUAGCCACGAUGCAAACACCAAACAGGCUCUUAAUUUUAGUCUCGAAUUUGGAAAGGAAGUGUCUUAGCUACGAGGAAUUCUACACUGUCACACUUACACCACGUCAUUAAUAACAAGUCAAUUAUUUUUUUUUUCAAAUAAAAAUAUAUUAAAAAUAUUUUUUUUAUAAUCAUGAUGGGACAUAUAUAUUUCUAAAAAAAGACAUUUGAUUGAUUUGUUACGCUACGUCACCAAUAUACCCGUUGCAUUCUAGAAUUUUUCCUUAGUUACACCUACACCAUAUUAUUUGUGUGUAGCCAAUCAUGUCUUUUAUUUUUAAAAAAUAUAUAAUACAAAUAUAUUUUUUAAAAAGAUUAAGUUUAUAUAGGUUUCUGCAAAUAUAAGUGAAUGUCAAAUAUGUCUCUGCAAAGUUCAAUUUUUAUACGGUAUUCCUGUAAAAACUCUGAUAUUUUCAAAUACAUCCAUCUGGUUUCUUACCGUUAGAGAAUCGUCAAAGAACUAUUUAUAUUUUUAAUUUUAUCACCAUAAAUACGGCCCUCUAAAAACUAUAACAGUAUAAUAUAAGAGAAGUAAAUAUGUCAAAAACUAAUUGGGAUUAAGUAUUUAAUCUAUAAUUAACUAAAUUUUUCUAACAGAUUCUAACGGUAGGAAUAUAUUAAAAAAUAUCAAAAUUUUUACAGGAAUAAUAUAUAAAAAUUGAGCUUUGUAGAAUUAUACUUGUCAUUCAUUAUAUUUAUAGUAAUAUGUAUAAAAUUAAUUUCUAAAAAAAUAUAAUGAAAUAAUCAAUGAACAUGAUGAAGAUGAUAUGAUUGAUUCGAAAUGCCACCUAUCCGAGUGUUACAUUAUUUUAGACUUUUUAGAACUCGGCGCGACCGUCGUUGGCACGUGUGAAAGGGGGCCGGUCUCCCAUGUGUGGGUCUCGGGCCGACACGUGGCCUCAAGUUAGGUACCCCCGCACGUGCGUAGCAGCGACGGGCGCUGCUGCAGUAGCAACGUGCGUGGGGCCCAGGAAAAUUUAGAACAGUUGUAACACAUACGAUUUAUCCUAAAUUAAUUUUAUUAUUAUUAUAAUAUCAAAUAAAAUAAAAAAAUUUAAUCAUAUAAUAAUUACACAUUAAAAAAUAAUAUUUUGACUAAAUUAGAAAAAAUUUUCUUGUCAAAACCUGAUUUUUCACAUUCUCCAUUUUAUUUAAAAAUCUACACUUUGGACUAUUAUAAAAUAAAAAAUAUUCACUCCACCCUCGACCGUUAGUAAUCCGUUAGGGUUCCGUUUAUAAAAUAUUAUUAUUAUUUUUUAUGCCAAAAAUGUCUUUAACCUUCUCUUCUGUUGCAAAAAAUGAUUAAAGACAAAAUGAUCAUUUUGUCAUCACAAUUUACACCGUACCUUCUGUGACUAUUUUUAUUUUACAAAAGAACAAAGUGUAAAUUUUAAAUAACAGGAGGAAAAAAUAAAAAAUCAAAUUUUUACAGAAGAUUUUAUAUAAUUUAGCCUUUUAUUUUUUUUAUAUUUUUCAGCAAUAUAGAUAUAUUCUAUAUAUUCAAUUAGAUGUCUCACGAUAUUGGCAGUGCAUAUAGUUAACAAAAAAUAAAAUUAAAUUAAAAUUUGGUGACUUAAUAAGUAUACUAAUAUAUGAAUAUAUGUGUAUAAAUAAAUUUAAAAAAGAAUUUUAUACUUGUAUAUUAAAUAAAUAAUUUUUAAAACAGAGAUUUUGUUUUUGUAUGAAAAGCUCUCUCAGUCAAACAAAGGACUAAAUUAAGAUUCUAUCUCUCUGUAAUAUUGUCUCCCAACUAAAAACAAUAAUCAAAACCAUAAUAAAACCAUAAUAACAUUUUAUUUAACUAAUUAAUCCCUAGUUGAUUAAUUAGCACACAAGCAACAGAAGAGAAAUGUAAUUAGGAGUUUAUGGAGACCCCUGGAUAUUUCAAAGUGAACUCAUUAAAUUUUUUUUUUUUUUUUUUUUUUUUUUUNUUUUUUUUUUUUGAUUGAUAUCUUCUGCUUCUAACUUUUUAGAAUUAAAUAAUUUACAUUAAAAUUUUAAUUAUUUUUAAAAAUUUAUUAAUAAUUUUAAUUAUUUUUUUAGCAAAUAAAAUUAGAUCAAUUAACACUUAAUAACUAAUAAAACUAUAAAUUUGAGAAACUUUCAAAUAAACCAAAUAUAAAAGCUCAAUUUUUUUUUUUAAAAAAAAUAGAAGUUGAGAGGUUUCAAUCGAAAAUUAUAAAAAAAAAAAGAAAAAACUUCAAAUACCACCCUUCUGGUUCAAUAUUUUUUUAUUUUAGUACCAUAUAAUUUAAAGUGCAUUAUCACUAUAGUAUUUUAUGAUUUUAUUUUUUUCUUUCCAACAAAAUUACAGGAUAUUAACAGUGAUACACCUUAAACCACAAACUAUUAAAGAAAAAUAUUCAAGGCUUUUUUUUUAAAUUACAAAUUUAUCUGAACUAUGAGUUAUUUUGAAACAACCACCUAACUUUUGGUGGCCUCCUUAUAUAUAUAUAUAUUUUUUAGAGGACUGAAUGCAAAAAAAAAAAAAGUCUUUAAAUAAACUGUCCAUAGCUGAGGGCUGUAUUUUAACUUGUUCAAUAGUUGAGGGGUCUCCAUACAUUUCUACAAAAGUGAAACAGGGGCAUUUCCGUAAUUUUUUCUCUCUCUCUCAUCCCCCANUUCAUACAUUUCUACAAAAGUGAAACGGGGGCGUUUCCGUAAUUCUCUCUCUCUCUCUCAUCCCCCAUACAUUACCAUUUCCUCUCCUCCUCAAAAGAAGAGAAGAGAAGAGGAGAGAGAGAGAGAGAGAGAGAGAAAGAGAAUCUAUCCAAUCUACUUGCAAUAAAGAAACCCCCGUACGUUCCUCGUGAGCAAUCUCAGAGAAAACACACACAACACACACACACACACACACAUAGAGGGAGAGAGAGAGAGAGAGAGAGGUUAGGGUUAGGGCACAAACCCAUCUCCGCAAAUCGCUGCUCCAAUGGCGAGGACGACGGAGCGCCCCUACUAGAGAAAGAGAGGGGGUGGGGGGGGGAGGGGGAGAGUGAUAGUGUAAUACGAUGACAUCGGGGGGAGCGGGGGGGAGGACGCCGACGUGGAAGGAGAGGGAGAACAACAAGAGGAGGGAGAGGAGGAGGAGGGCGAUCGCGGCGAAGAUAUUCGGGGGGUUGAGGGCGCAGGGGAACUACAAGCUCCCCAAGCACUGCGACAACAACGAGGUCCUAAAGGCGCUUUGCAACGAAGCAGGGUGGGUCGUCGAGGACGAUGGCACCACCUACCGCAAGGUUAUCGUCUACUCCGCCAGCCCUUUCUCUUUCUCCUCCGUGUAUCUGGAUUUGGAGUUGUAAUGGUGGGUUGAGAUUUGGAGUGAUUUGGGCCAAAGAUGAGAUUUUUUUUUUCUCUUUUUUUUUUUUCGAUGAUGUGGGUUUGGGGAUUUUGCUCAAAAUAAUCGCUUGUGGAAUAUCUUUCUUUGUGAUGUGUUGGUUUUGGGGGGUUUGGAGAUGCAAUGGUGGGUGGGUAUGGAGUGAUCUGAGCCAAGAUGUGAUUUUUCUGAUGCGGGUUUUGGGACUUUUCCUUUUCUUUUUUUUUUUGCUGAUUUUUUUUUUCCCUUUUCGGGGGCUAAUCUGAUUUUGUUUUGGGUGGUAUCCCUUCCAAUUUAGGGCUUUAUUGAAUUUGGUUCUCUCCAAUACAAAGAUCUGCGUGCAAGAUUGCUUUUUGGGUGUUUUCUUAGAUCAUUUUCCCCUUGAUAAUUUGUUCUCAUCAAACUACCCGUUCCUGGAUCCCUUCAGAUUUAAUGAGAUAUCCUAAAUUUAAAAUGGUUUCUAGAUCUGUGGCUGCAACCUUUUUUUUGUGGAAGAAACCCUAAAUUUGCCCUUGCUUUUGAGCUUGUUUCACAUUUUUUUCUAGAUGGAAGGUUGAUCCUCUUAGUCAUGUUGCUUUUAUCCAAAAGUUUUGAUCUUAAUUACAAAAAAAACAAAAAAGAAGAAAAUUUUAACUUUUGAUUCUCUUUUUCUUUUGACUGUUGCUCUUUGUUAUGGCACCCUUUGGUGCAUUUUUCUUUUUUUAAUUUUCAUUGGACCCAACAUGAUGGUGUCCUUUUAAUUGGGUUGUGGAAAUUUGUCUCUCUACUAUUUAACUUUUCUUUCUAUUGUUCCUCUCCCUUUUUCUAUUUAUGUUAAGCAUUUUGUAUCAAGUGAUUUUUUUUUAUUUUCUUCCUCUUCAUCCACCUUUUGAAGAAGAGUAGAAAAAAGUGGGCAGGGGAAGAAUAAAGUCAAUUCAUUUCCCAAUUACAGGAUUAGGGCACCUUCUAGACAUCAUGGACAUUAUCCAAACAAAUCAAAAAGUUGAGAAAUGAAAAAAGAUUUCAAUUUAUUUAUUCACCUUAUCAUUAUGAUUGAUGGAUGAUGAUCUACAUUUCUUCAUUGACCUCAUAACAUUGUUAAUGAACAUGAUUCACUUUGUUCAUCAACUCAGAAGAUGAUAUUACUGAAAAUGAUUUAGUUUCUUUAUCCUGCAGCAAUAACAAUGGUGCUCAAUAUAUUUUAUUCUGAUCAUGUAUCUAUUGUUACUUACCUAGUCAUGAAGCUUUGAUCUUUAUCUCUAAUGCAUCAAAUGUGUUGCGCUAAAUACUUACCCUAUAUAUAUAUUUGUUGCCUCCCUAAAUCAUAAGAAUGAAAUAUCAAUGUCCGCAUUUACACAAUUAAUUAAAAUGAUGUAAUUUCGUGAUGAUUUGUUCAUUAAGUCAUGAGAUGAUGGAUCUCUGCAUCAAGAAUGAUUGUGCUUAAAAUAUUUAUUCUGACCAUAUCUCUACUGUUUCACUCUCUUUAUGAUCAUGAAGUUUUUGUAUAUUCUAAUGCAUAUUACCGCUCUUUUCAUUCAUUUUACUCUUUACAGGGAUGCAAACCGGCUUCGCGACCUCCUGAAUUGACUAUAGAAGGCCCCUCGGCGAACGUAAGCCCGUGCUCCUCCUCCCACCAUCUCAGCCCACUCAACUCCUCGUACCCUAGUCCGGUCCCUUCCUAUCAUGCAAGCCCGUCCUCCUCCUCCUUCCCUAGCCCCACCCGCGUCAACAACCCUAACCCCAACCCUACCCUUAACCCCUCUCUUUCCUCCGCAACCUCCCCACCCCUCUCCCCCCCCUCCGAGUCUCAAACAGUGCCCCUGUGACUCCGCCCCUGUCAUCUCCGACUGCCGCCUCUCGCCCUGCGAAGGUGCAGAAAACUAAUUGGGACAAUUCUGCAUUUCCCAAUUCAUUUUUUGCCGUCUCCGCACCCUCUAGCCCGACUAGAACCCGGUUUCACCACCAUCAUGCGACAAUACCCGAGUGUGACGAGUUGGACAUUUCCACCGUCGAUUCUGGGCGGUGGGUCAGUUACCAAAUGACGGCGCCUGCGUCGCCGACGUAUAAUCUUAUCAACCCCGCCGCUCCUCUACCAGAGAGCGCGAGGGUCAUCGGAGGUCUGGAAAGGACAGGGCGUGGCGGUGGGGCGGAGUUUGAAUUCGAGAGCGGGGGGCGAGUGAAGCCUUGGGAAGGGGAGAAGAUUCACGACGUCGGGGUGGAGGAUCUCGACCUCACAUUGGGAGUGGGCAGCGGGUGUGCUAAGUGAGUUGAUGAUCUUGGAGUUAUAUUUGGCUCGGACCGCUCAGGUUCGCGCUGUUCGCUUGUCUUGUGUUGGUAUUAUUCUGUAACGCGCGCAUUAACAUGGGUUGAUUCUUUGAUUGCCUUGAGCAGCAAAUCAUUGUGAUGUUGAGCUACCAGUGUGAUGGCAGUUGCUGGUAGCCUAUUUCUGUAGAUCAGCAAUCAGGGUUUUGUUGCUAGCUUUGUAAAUGUUGGGAAGAAGCUUGCUGAGGAGAAGUAAUAUCUCCUAUCUCCCGUUCUAAUCAGUUGGUUUAUUCCAAUGCUGUUUUCUGGGGUGAUGUGAGCAAUUAAUAUUUUCAAGGAACUGCUGUAUUUAUUAGGUCUACAAGAAAAUUCUCUAAUUGGAUUUUUUUUUUUUUAUUUUACUGUUGAGAGAAGAUCUAUAAAUUGGAAGGUUGUUACUCGCUUCUCCAAAUGGCCCUAUUUUUUUUUUAAAAAAAAAUUCAAUCUAAAGAGAUAUGAAAAUAGCAUCUCUUUUCCUUACUGCAUGAGACCCAUAAGAUUGUGAUCGAUUUGUUUGAGAUUUAUUGGAGAAAUUAGAGGUAUUCAAUUUGUGCUAUCCAAAAAGACUACUGUUAACAGAUUUGUUGUGUUAAAUCCGAGCUUUUGCUUUCAGGAUUCGGAGUCUCGUAUUUCACGCGUUGCUGAGAAGGAAACUUCAUAUUCUUUCUCUUUACUAAAUGCUGUACAAUGCUUACAGAAGCAGCAGAAGCAAAGUAAAACAGGCUCUCCUUUUUUCCUCUCUGUAGAAGUUCCAAAUUACUCUUCAACCAUAAUUAUUAUGUCUAAAACUUUAGUUAAUGCUGGAACUAUUUCUCUUAAUGCUGGAACUAUGCUUUGUGGCUGCACCCUACACAAGCGAGAUAGUGAUAUCUCCAUGGAGGGAUGCACUGUUCGGUCAAAGGGAACCAGGGAGCUUUCGAGGGGCCUCUCUUUUCUUAAUGUGAGGCGUGGAGAAGCUGCUGAUCUUUAUGAUGCACUCAUCUACCAAACACUGCAGGAAAAAGCACUUCUUUUUUAAUGAGAGCUGGGGCCAGGGAAAGAGCCAUUUCAACUAAAUGAGCCCCAACCCAGCCAAACCAAAUGUUUUGAGGAAAACACCUGGUGGCCUUGUAAUUUUACGGCAUAGAAUCUCAAUAGGUUCAAUAGGAACAAGGAUAGUGGGAACACGAAAUCCAAACAAUUCGCAUUUAAAACAGAAAAAAAAAAAAAAAAACAAAUAAAGGGAACUAUCCGAAUGAGGUCUAUCAAUGUAGUCUCUGGGGUAAAUUGUAUGAUUAGAGGUCCAAACUUUUUAGAUUAGUUUCCAUUUAGUUACAAUUGGAUCCUUCACAUUCUGUUGCCAUCAUAACUUUUCCCUUCAAAUGUCUCUCUUAAGAUCGACAAAGUUGUCGAUGUAACGACCAUUAAAUUAAUAUGGAGGUUGGAAGUCCAAAGUAGAAACGCGUCGACGGUUGGGGAAUAAUGGUGCAGUUUACCUUUCAUUUAUGAGCAGUACUAAUAUUAAGACCUUGCAAUUGUGACAACAAAGUAUAGCUGAACACGACGGAAGAAGAAACCAAAUUCAUUACUGUAUUAGCAGUCAAAUUGUGUAAGCAUUACAGUGAUAUUACAAGCACAAACAGAAUAAGAAGAAAUUAGAUACUACAUAAACUCUUAACGCAUACUAUUUCCAGAUCAAGUAUAAUUAGCAGAGCAGAGUGAAAUGGUAAACCAACCUGCCUCUUAAGCCUCUGUUAGUAACAUUGCCGAGAUACUUUUCUUCACUUCAGCAGCCCGAGUGUGGUUUUCGCAGGCAUUAAAUCUAAAGCAGCUAGAAAGAUGGUCGUUGACUAUUCCUGCGGCUUGCAUGAAAGAGUAAAUAAUAGUCGGCCCGACACAUCGGAAGCCCCUUUGCAUUAGGUCCUUGCUAAUGGCUUCUGCUUUUGGACUCUUCACUGGAACUUGACGCGUGUAUCGGAAUCCAUUGACUAUCGGCUUGUGGCACACAAAGUUCCAGCAGUAGUUGCUGAAGGACCCAAAUUCCUCUAUUAUCUGUAAAUGGUAGACUCAGUUACUGCUUUAACUCAUGUAGUGAGCAUGCUUCGUAAUAUCGAUAAGGGUUGUUAUUAACAUUUAACCAACAUUUGUCUUUACAUGAAAAGCAAACAUCUAGUACAAGGAUUUUUUUUUUUUUCAUAUUAUAGAAAAAAUAACAAUGGGCAAACUCUAUAGCAAUACUACCAUCGUAGUACUACCAUUUAAGUCGGCAAAAUCUGUUAUCGGCAGCAUGGUAUCGAACUGCGGUCACGAAUCUUAAAUAACUUGUGAGUUCUAACUAAAAUACCAAAAUAAGGAACUCCACUUUAAAGCAGUGAGGUAACAUAACAACAUUAUUAGCAGUUACAUUUUAUACAAUAUCUAGAAACAUAACAAUAAAGUAGCAGGAAAUGUUUACACUCUUGUUAGAGUUAAUUCGAUUAAGAAGGCACCCAGAAUGAGCAACCUACAAAAAUAUUUAUAGGAAUCCACUAUAAAGUAGCCAAAGAAGCAGCUAAAUGGCAAUAAAAAGAAAGGAAAUAGGGUAGAUUCAUUAUUAAAGGCUAUGUGCAAUGCAAUUGAAAAUAUACCUACACAAAUAUAACUUACCUUCUUUAUUAGUCUUGCAUUUUCUACGGCUGCUCUAAUUUUCUGCUCUGAUAACAAUGAGCUACUUGAUCUGAGUAGAAUGAUCUUCUUCUCGGUAAAUUUAGCAAUAGAAGAGUGGUCAAAAUCAUCAAAUAACUUCCUGAGAAAAGAGUUCAUAACUAAGAUGUCAAAAGCACAACUAAACUCUGUUGUCGUAAAUAAGCAUUAGUGUUUUAAGACAAUAACUAUUACCUGAAUGUGCCUCUCUUCUUUAGAAUAGUUGGCCAGCUCAACUCUGCGAGAGCUUGCGAUAAUAUAAGUAACUCGAAUAGCUUUCGGUCAUCAAAUACCGGAGUUCCCCAUUCCUUAUCAUGGAAAGUAACAUAUAGAGGGUCUAGCAAGGAAGAGAGGAAUGAUGUGCAUAAAUACAAGUAUAUGUGCUUUAUCUUCAAACACAGUAUCCAAUUGCACAUAGCAUGCACUUGACAGAAAACCAGUGGUUUCAUUGUUAUCGUUCAUUUCUCAUUUACAAUGGCAAAUCGUGCCACCAAUCUCCGAACUUUUAGUAAGGUUUUAUUUUUGUCCUCAAACUUUUUAAGUUGGACAUUUGAUACUCUAACCAUCGAAAGUGUCCCAUUUUUGUCCUUAUCCUUAUUUACCAUCCUACACCUCAAGCAUCUCUCCGUUCAUGCACCAUGCAUCUAUCAACUCCUAAUCUUUCAUCUUAUAUUCAAAUCCUACCACUCAUUAACUUGCAGAGUAUUCUAUGUUUAAAAAAAUUGGAUAGUUGGAUUAAAACUGUGAGAUGCACAGAGGAACGAACGGGUUCGUGGUGCAUAGACAUACAAAUGAACCAGGUGCAAGAGAUAAUUUUUCUUUAAUUUGCAUAAGGACUUUGAAACAAUUCGGAAAGGUUCGGGGUCUCAAAUUUUGAACUUUUUCAAGGACCAAACUAUGAAAGAGGGAUUUUUAUUAUUAUGAUUAUUAUUUCUUAUAAACCAGUGGUUAAAUUUCGAGUUCUUAUUUCAAAAAUACUGUAUUUCUAGCUAGUAAAGUUCAAAUACCUAUUUCCAAAAAAUACACAAUGUGAGACUAUAUGGUUAGGGUAAUAUCAGUACAUUUUCACCUUAAUUACAUCUCAGCAAUAAUAUCCAAUUUCAUAUAAUUAGAAUCAAAUGAAGAGAUUACCUGAACAAAUUGAAAUGAUAAACCAAAACAAAAACCUAUUAAUGCCAUUAAAGUUAUUUAACUCACCAGAGUAAGGAGUUAUCCACGAACACCUCUUCUUCUCCAACGACGGCUCCUUCGGUAUCGAGGGCGACUCCGCCGCCGCGUCCGAAGCCUCGGGAGCGACCCUCGCGGCUCUCGCCACAUUCUUACGCCGAGCUCCCCCGACCUUCGCCGAACCCCGAUCGCACGAAGAGUCCGAGGAGCAGGACCCGGCUCCCGAUGCGUCGAAGCGGCCCGAUUCCGGCGGCCGAGUGGCCGGAUUCGGCCUACUCCUCCUCUCCGACCCCUUCUUCUUCGUCCCGGGCUCCGGCGCCGCCGCCGCGAUCUUCUGCUUCGAUCUAGGGUUUGCCCCCGACCUCAGUGCGACGGCCCCCGGCAUCGGACAAGGAGCGAAAUUCGGAGCCAAAAAGAGCGAGAUCCGAGGACGAUUGCAGUGCGACGAAGGAGAAUUGGAGGUGAUUGUGAUUGAUUUGGGCGAAAAACCCUAGAAAUUGGGUGAAAAAGGAGUGGUUUUGGGGAGGGUUAGAGAGAGAGAGAGAGAGAGAGAGAGAGAGGGGUUCGUGGCAGAGUUCGAAAUGGAGAGGGGGAACAGUACGGAGGAGGUGGAUUUAAACCGGGAACGAACGUAGGGCACGGGUGACCGGCAAUAGCCGGUUACCGGCUCUCGCGUGCCGUUUCAGUUUUUAAGAAAUGGGUGGAAUUCCAGAAAUGCCACUGGCUGUCGCGAUUUAUAUCACAAAUGCAACUAUCUCUAGUAGAUGGUUUUUUUUUUUUUUUUUUUUUUUUUUUUUUUUUUUUCCAAUUUAACCCUUUUUAAAGGAAUUUUUUUUAAUCAAGAAUCCAAGGCCUUAUUUGAUAUUGUGUAUAUAGUGUUUUUGCUUUUAAAAGUCGCUCCUUUUAACCAUUUUAUUUUGAAUUAUUUUCAUACAUGAUCCUACAAAUAUAAUAUAUAAUAAAUGACAAAUAUAUCUCUAUAAAAUUUAAUUUUUAUAUAUUAUUUCAACAAAAGUCUUUUAAAAAUAUUCCUAUCGUUAAAAUCCGCUAGAAAUAUUUAGUUAACCAUAAAUUAAAUACUUAAUUCUGAUUAGUUUUUAACAUUUUUACCUCUUUAUAUUAUAUUGUUAUGACUUUUGGAGGGAUAUAUUUGUGAUGGCAAAAUUAAAAAUAUAAAUAGUUUUCCAACGGUUCUCUAGCUGUAACAAAUCAGAGAAAUAUAUUUUAAAACAUUACGACUUUUGCAGUAACAACCUAUAAAAAUUAAACUUUAUAGGAAUAUAUAUUUAUCAUUCACUAUAUUUACGGGACCUAUAUGAAAUUAACUUUUUUAUUUUAUUCUUUUUUAGUUAAACCGUAUGGAGACGCUCUCAAUUAUAAAAAAAAAAAAUUUAAAAUAUGGCCGUCACAUUAAUAAUGUGAUAUUUUCAACCAAUCAAAUUACACCUCUAAAAUUUAUUCAUCCACCAUAAUUUUUUAAAAAAUAUUUUUAUUAUAUUUUUCUCUCAUAAUAAAAUACGUAAUUGACUGGAUAUAAAUGAUAUGAUGUGACUGUCACAUAAUAGAUGUCCUUCAAUUAUAGGUGAUUUCAAAAUAGGCCCAUCAACUUUUAUUUAUUUUUUUGUUUAAGAUACUCUUUGGUUCUAAUUUUUAAAAUCAAGUAAUUUUAAUUUAAAAAACUAAAAUCUUUUUAAAUGUAUUCAUGAUAUCAUCAAACUUAAUAAUUUUAAUUUUUCCAGCAAAUUAAACUAGAUCAAUCAACGUUUAAUAACUAAAAAAAAAACUAUUAAAUUUAAUAAAUUUAAAUUUAAAAGGUAGUUGAAAAUAAAAACUUACAAAAAUUUAAAAAUUAAAAAUAAAUAGUACAAAAUUUAUGUAAUUUCUGAACGUUGUUACCAAAAUACUAGAAGAGGUACCUCCAUAACAAAUGGCAGACAGUGGUUGAGGAGGGUAGAAUUGUAAUACCUGUUGUCUACGGAGGGUAAAAGAGUCAUUUGAGUUGGGUGACAAAACGCUUUUUGGCGACCCGUCGUAAUCGGUUGCUGGUGAACCGUUAAGAGAGUAGUGAGUGAGUGCGGUAGCUUGCCUCCAAAUUUCCAUACCGUUAAGCCCAAGCAUCAAAUUUUUUUUUUUUUUGAAUAAAUUUCAAAUUGCCCCCAAUAAUUUAGCUUAUUUUUACUCUACCAUCUCGUAAUUUAAAAAGAUUUUACUUUCAGCCCAUGCUUUAGCGCAUUUUUUUUACUUUGUCGCCUUGUAUUUUUUAAAAAAAAAUUAAUUUGUCAUUCUAUUUGAUAUAUAAUUUUUUUGGUGAAAUAAAAAUUAAACGCUAAGGUGGCAAAGUAAAAUUGAGCUAAGCCACAUGAGGGCUAUUUGAAAUUUACCCAAUUUUUUUAGAAAUCUAAUUCAAAGUCUCUGACAUGGGGAGACUAUAAAAUGCUAUUCUGGACUAAUUCCUAUGAGACAGUUUUUUUAAUAAUAUAAUAUUAAAGUUAAUCAUAAAAUCUAUUAUUUUUAUUAAGAUUGACUUCUAUAUUAUUCUCUUUUCGGUCAGGACAUGAAAUAUGAUUCACCUGAUGUCUAUUACGUAUAUAAGUAGAUUUGUUAAGAUUAAUUUUGGGCCAAUUCCUAUGGCAUCAAUCUUUGGGGUAACGUUUAGCAUAAUAAUUAGAAUUGUCUCAAACAUGUGAGUUCACUCUGAGAAACCUUUUUGGGGACACAAGCUUGGAUUUAGUUUCAAACACAUGGCUUUGCUGUGAGAUAUCUUCUGAGGAUCCAGUUUCAGAAUCAAAGACAUAUGAUGCCACUCUGAGAUACCUUAACAAUCAUUGUUUGGUUAGUUCCAAGGAGACAAAGAAAAAAAACUAUCCAUUUUAAUUUUUUUUAAAAAAUAAACACAGCUAAAAAAAAUUUGAGGCUUCGAAUUUGUGAUCUUAGAUACCAACCAUCGAGUGCUUAGCANAGUUUCAAACACAUGGCUUUGCUGUGAGAUAUCUUCUGAGGAUCCAGUUUCAGAAUCAAAGACAUAUGAUGCCACUCUGAGAUACCUUAACAAUCGGUGUUUUUUUUUUUUUUGAGAGAAAAAGAUAACAUACUAUCCAUUUUAAUUUUUUUUAAAAAAUAAACACAGCUAAAAAAAAUUUGAGGCUUCGAAUUUGUGAUCUUAGAUACCAACCAUCGAGUGCUUAGCAAAUUGCACCAGAUACAGUCGCGAAGUUGGUAAUUAUUAUAACCCUUCAUUCCAGGUUAUUAUAUCCUUAACUGAUAUCUCAAGUAAAGAAAAAUCCAGGAAAUUAAAUGGGGAUGAUGAGAAAGGUGCAGGACAUAAAGGAGGUGCAGCUCCCACUUCUCAACGGCUACAUUCUCUAUUUCAAAAUUGUGACCAAACGGCUGUUGAUUACCAGUUUAAUUUGCUCACCCUCCAAAUUAAGACACAAUAUUUUAAUAUAGCAACCUUUAUUGAAAUAAGAUCAGAUUCAUUGGAUCAGAUUCAAAUGAACUACUCUGUCCAAAUGUAAAAUCAUCUUUAUUAAUAACAUCACAUCACUCCACUUCGUGCGCUAGUACAGGACACAACUGGUACCGCUUGAUGCCUUUUCUUUCAGAAAUGUACUACACUCAAAAGUGGAGCGUAAGCUUUACAUCCACACAUCCAACAACUUAAAAUCUUUUUUUCAUUCUUACUAUUAUAAAAAAAAUAAAUAAAUAAAUGGAUAAAAUGUAAAAUUUAUAUCCACUUUUUGAGCAGUAUUGCUAUUUUUCUUUGGUAUGGCCAUCCUUGCAUGAAUCUGAUAACAAAACACAAUGCAUCGUGAGAACCAUGCUAACUAAGCACUCAGAAUUUAUGAUACUGAAGAGGUGUUUUAAAUUAUUUCUUCGUUGCAUUAGAGAUCCUAUAAUUGGUAUUAUCUAAACCUAGGGUUUAUUAGGGUUUAAUACGCCUUUUGUAUUUGGAUUAUUCUUUCAUCCCAGUUAGGGGCGGCAAUCACUCCAACCCGACUAGGCGAACUUUAAAACUUAAAAAGGGAGUUAAACACACAGAAAUAUCUAUUUUCUGGUGAAACCGCAAGAAUUGUCCUUAACAUGAUUUGUGUAUUUUGCCCACCAUUCCAAAUUAAGUAAAGUUUAACUUCGAGUGUAUCCAGACAAAAACAAUUUGGUUAUUGGGGCAAAUUAGAUCAUCGUACCGGAUUUCCUAUUAUAAUUUUAAGGAUGAAUUACACUUUUGGUCCUCAAAUUAUGAGGCCCGUGACACUUUAGUUUCCGAACUUUAAUUCGUUGGAAUUUCUAACUCGUACUAUGAGGUGCACGAUACUUUAGCGUCAAACUUUAGUUGGUUCAAAUUUUUGGCUCGAAUUAUGAGAUAUGUGACAUUUUAAUCAUCGAAUUUUUUGAAUCGUAGCAAUAUCCUAUUUGAUGAUACAAUAAUAAUUAAAAUUGUAAUAAUAUCCUACUUGAUAACGCAAUAAUAAUUAAAAUUAUAGCAAUAUCCUACUUGAUGAUGUAAUAAUAAUUAAAAUACUACAUUACGUCGAUAUUAGUAAUUCUUCCAUACUUAUUCAAAAAAAAUUCGAUUGUGGGAUUUGGUUGUCACAAUUCAGAAAGUUCGAGAACUAAAACUUAACAUACCUCAUAGUUUAAGCCAGAAAUUAUACCAAAAUACCACGCACCUCAUAGUUUGAGCCAUAAAUUACAACUAAUUUAAAAUUUGAGAAUUAAAGUGUCACGCACCUCAUAGUUUUGAGGACCAAAUGUGUAAUUUACCUUAAUUUUCAAUACUUCAGUUGUAGAAAUUCUAUUAAAAAAAAUAAAACAAUAAAAAGAAUAAAACAACAAUGACGCCAAAGGAGGCCAAACUUUGUUAUUUAGAUAAAGGGAAGGUUGUGUCGAUUGCGAGUAACUCCAAUUAACCAACACAUGUGAAAGGAAAAUGGAACAAGAAAGCAUAAAGCGUACAUCAACAUGUAACAUAGUUACCUUAUUGUCCAUUACCUAUUGUUAGAGAUGCCAUAUUAUGUUUUCCUCCAACACUUUCAAAAUUAUGCAACACAAAGGGUUUAAACAACAAUUUAUUCCACUUAUCAGCUAGGGACAAUUCCAUAUAUAGAUUAUUGGCUAUAAAGAUUGAGAGAUAUUUCAUAAAGGGUUCGGAUAAAUCGAUAAUGUAGCUGGGAUAUUGAAGAUGCAGGAGGGGACAAUGAGCAACUCAUGAGCUUACCCUGAUGGAUUCAGUAGCCUUUUUAAGACACUUCCUUUACGCUGAUAGGUUCUGUAGCCUUUUGAAGCCACUCCAUUUCCUGCUCAUUCAUAUAUGGUGCUAAAACUUUUCUGCAUUCAGCAUGGUAUGAGUUCACCCAUUUAAUCUCGUCGACGUUCAGCAAGGUCAGGUCCAUUAGUUUCUUCUGGUAUGGGGCCUGCAUAGUUACCUCUCAUCAAUUUCAAAAACUACAAAAAUAUCGGAAAAAGAAACCAAGAGACCCUUAGCUAUUUAAAUUGUUAACAUAACAAAUUACACCCGUAUUCCUGAACCAUAUCCGCUACAUUUGUAUUCAUUAUUGUAUACGAACUCAUCCCAUACAAAAAAAAGAAGUGUCAAAUAGCUUGAUAGUAUUUUUCAAGCUCUUCUAUUUCGAAGGAACAGAAAAAGGAAAUGAGGCAUAAAAAUGCCUUUGAGAUGGUGAAUUAAAAUCAGCCUAUCAAGCCUUAGGUCAUGUCAUCUGUAACUGCCAAAAGAAUGAAACUGUUUCCAACGGAUGAGAGAGACGUAUUUCUCAUUCCUAAUUCUUGGAGAUUAGUAAUGACCAAAGCUAAUCAAAAUUUGGUCCAAAUUGACCAAAAUACAUUGUGUUAAGCCAACUAAUCCAAAACAAGCCGAAGCUAAUUGAAUCCCCAAAAUUUCCUGAGUUUUGUAUUUAGUCUCAGUUGAACCUUCAGAACUCGUGCCUUUAAACAUCGAGAUGUAAAUAGGAAUACUCUGAUCAAACUCAACUUGAAAAAUCUAAAGCAAAGUAAUGUGAACGAAGAACCUCAACAAGCAAAAUAUUUCUUUACCCAUGAUUAUUAAUUAUUAUUUUAAGCAAACUACUUGUCAAAGUUUCGGAAAUGAGAGAAAAAACAACAGUAAAGACAAGGUUAACAGUCAAGCAUACCCAUGUUAUGUGCUCAAACUCUAAAUAGCCCUUUUCACCAAAAUUGAACUUCGUAUUAGCCUCGUUGACUAUAAGAACGUUCUCCAACCUUAUACCAAAGCUCCCAUCUUCAUAAUAACCAGGUUCUGCAAGAAAAGAAGUGAAAAUUUAUCUUCAAAUCUUUAUUGGAAAUUUCUUAAUAACUCAAAAAUUCACAACUGUAAUUUUAAUAGUUCAAUGCAUCCGAAGAAAAAUUGCAAGCACGUAAUGUCAAAUGAUUACCAGCCUAAGAUACUGUACGACACCUAAAUACAAAAUAAGGAUGGUUAACAGUUCAACAUCUUAAUGAAAAACACUUAUGUUUUAUGUUCACCGUUCACUUAAAAACUGAGAAUCAGGAAGUAGUAAAACGUAAGAAACAGCAUGACACAGUGCAAGGCAGAUGAUAACUUAGAGCAAAUGUUCAUUUUCUAACACCUGGCGGAAUGCGGUAAGCUAAACGGGCAUUUAGCCUUUUGUUACUUGAAAUGCAUGAGUUCACAAAGCAACUCUAUUUGCUAUCCUAUAGUAUCCGGUAUAUUUCAAACAAGGAUUAAGUGCCCAUCGGCACGAGCCGUAUCCAUCGUGCCGUAUCGUGCCAGCAAGAUAUCAACACGAUACAGCCUCUGUACCGAUGGCACAACUCAAAACUCUCUAUUCUUGAAAUUAGUAAGUAAUUUUCUCAAUAAAGUUCAAAAGAUUUGAUUAAAAAUACAUAAUAAAUAAUUGAUAUAUUUUGUUGCUAAAGAAAAUAAAUAUUUCCUGCCAUUACGUGUCGGCAUAGAUAUAUUUAUUGUGACCGGUACGCAUCGGCACGAUCCGGCACGCACCGUGCCGACAAGUUGCCGGCACGACCCCAUGCCAUGGCACUUAAAUCCUUGAUUUCAAAGAUCUACAAACUGUUAGUUUUGGAAUUUUGAAUCAUAAAGUCUUUCCUUGAGUUAAACAGAAUGGGCCCUUACAUUAUAAGUUUGAACUUCCUGUUAAGUGAUGAAUUGAGAUUCUGACUGUUAAGCAGCAGGAAGGUACUUAUUCAUGAGCUAUGAAGAAGUAAAUUCCCGUAGGAAGUUAAAAAUUAUCUGCAAACACAAUGCAUUUUUAUCCAAAAAAAUAAAAACAAGAACAUGAGUUAUCUAGAAACAGCUCAUCCUAAUAUCCGGGAAGGGGCAAUUUUUCAUAUAUCUGCAAAAUAUGAACUGGUCCAGAAUUUAAACCUUAAAACAGCACAAGGAAAAUAUCAUAGAGUACAAACCAUCUGUCACAGUCAUCGACGAUUGCAAUGGCACAUUCCGAGCAUGAGGCUUGAAACUAAUUAGAUGCGGUCCUGAUAAAAGAUAUAUACCAAAUUAAAAGUUGCCAGAUUAUAGAUGCAGCAUAGAAAGUAUUGAAAAGAUAUGAACUAGAAGCUAACCUUCAUGAACAUUUAGAUAUGACCCAAUUCCAUGACCUGUACCAUGUCGAUAAUCAAGACCAUUCUUCCAUAAAGGAGUCCGAGCAAGAAUAUCAAGAGCAUGACCUGUAGAAAGCAAAAUCAAGGACAUCACUACAAAGAGAGCUCAUCUAAUUAGCAUAUUGUGAUCAAUGAGAAUCUUUUGUCCCUUCACAUAGCUGGAGUGAGAAGGUAGGAUUUGUGGUUGCUGCAUAGCAUUGUUACACAUAGGCUCAAAUUCGAAACUUCAAAUGAGGUCUUAUCCAAGGAUUGUCCGUGCCAUCCGCGCCGUCCCAUGCCGAGGCCAUAACAGCACAUGGCACACGGGCAUGCCGACACCAUAUAAACAAAAUAGUUUUUUUGAAGUUUUAACAGUCUUUUUAAUGUCUUUUUGAGGUAGAAAGUUUUACAAGAUUUUUUCAUACUUGAACUAUGUAGAUCUUGUAAAACUACUAACAUUUAUUACAACUAGAGAGUCAAAUUGCAUAAUGUUGAUCAUCUUUUAGUGAAAAAAAAAAAGAUACAAAUAAGAAGAUAUCCCUAGUUUUUUAUCAUUUUAGAUGUAGUGAAUUUAACUAUGGUAGUAGUUUCCUAUAAAUUUUUACCCAAUUAGGACUUAUGUUUUCACGCAUAUACUUUUAUAAUAUAUAUAAAAUGAUUUUUUUUUUAGUUGUUAUGAUAUUUUUGACUCUAUUCAUAACAAAAUGUCCAAGAUAUAAAACACUUGAGCCAAGUAGAGAAAUUAAAACAAAUUAAAAAGCUUAUUUUUUAUGACAAUGACCAUGCCAAUGCAUGUCAAUCUGCCACUGCCGUGCCACUGGCACAGAGGGGUGUACCAACGGUGACAUGUCUCGUGCCACACUGCCAUGCUAUGCCAUGCCACACCACUGGCAUAGUGGCACAAGCCAUGCCAGUGGCAUGACAAUUCUUGGUCUUAUCAUAAAUACACCUAAGUACUUGUUAAUCAUUUUUGUAGCAUUUUAUAUGUAAACCUUCACAAGGUAAAAAGUUGCUUAUUUUACUUCUGAAUUUUUAACAUAUAUUUCAUAAUUUUAAUAAUUCAAGGAAAUCCAUUAGGCCGUCCUUAUGCCUUCAGCUUAUGCCAUUGUCACUUAUAGUUGUAAAAGCUUUGCCCUAGGCCUCUGUUGAUGAAUGCUGGAGACAGUUUAAGUGCACUUAAAUUCAAAUUAAUACACAAGGAAAAGGUGUUUCAAAUUGGCAUACCAGUUGUCCCAUUAGGAAAUAUGGCAGUGUCCAACGCAAUAUGGCCUUUCAGGACCUAGGUCACCGGGAGAGUAAUAAGUUAGAUUUCCAUCAUUAAUUACAAGUAAACGAUUGCCGCAAACAAUACUAUAACUAAAUAACCAGGAAAAACUUCAGAUUCACCAUUGUACUAAAAUCACAUUGUAACUUGUUGGGCUAAAAUCAACAUAUAACUUGUAAAGAAAAUAUGUUACCAUGUAUUGCUACCACUAGAGGAAGUGGUUCAGAUCAGCUGUCUAAUUACCAAAAAAAAAUUGAGAGCUCAGUGCUUCAAAUUGUGUUAUAUAAUUACGGAAAAAAAUUAUGAACUUGCCAUACAGAUGGAUUCAGGAAAAUACAUUAUGAGGACUCAAACAUCCAUAAAUCAAGCUUAAAGGUAAUCUGACAUGUCAAAUUGAUGUGGCCCAGUUUGGUAACUCUGAGUUGGGUUCAGUUCCAGCAAUUUACGUCCAACUAAAGCUGUAAUAUAUUUAAUCGAGUAUAUUUGAGAUAAUUUUGAUCUAGAACUUGUCAAAAUUGAGUCUCCUCAAGUUUGUUUCCAUUAUGUUUCUUUUUCUUCUCUUUUGACAUUUGAAAGAACUUUUGUGUAUAAAAUUUUGCUGCUUGGGAAGCCCAUAGUGAAGCCCUGAGUUUGAAAAUUAAGCAGUUACUUGAAGGUCAUCCACGUAAACAUCUCAGAUCUCACAUCAAGCUUAAAUUCCGGGUUACUCAACUUCCAGUUGUUUCAGACUUCAGGUUUUCCUCAGCUUUGAAUCAUUUCAGAUUUUCAUUCAGGUUCGGGUUAUGUCUAGUCUUCUAUUGUUUAGGUUAUUCCAUGUCUUCAGGGGGGUUUGGCUUUUCUGGAUUUCAGACCAUUGAGGUUGCAAGUUAUUUGACUUCAAGUCUUAAUUGCAUUCCUGAUAUCAGGUGCAUCAAGUUAUACUUGAACUGCUUUGAAUUUAGGCUAUCUCGAGUUCAGGUCACUUUGUGUUUGGUUUCAGGUUUCCAAUUAUUUGUGUUCUUAGGCUUGCUCAGUGUCAAGUUAUUCAUUUCGGUUCGGAUCAAUUAAAUUGGAAUUCACACUCUCCUUACAAUGAUGGCAAUAAGUCACAUGGCACAUUUUACUUUUAAGCCCAUGGACUAAAAACACAGUAAACCAUAAGGUUGUAAUGCAGGCCGUGCCAACUGCCAACAUUAACCCGUCGAAACAGGCCAGGAACUGGCCUGGCCUGAAUGGGCUUCGAAUCCGAGCCAUGCCAAGCCGGCCUGGAUGUUCCGAACCUAUAGCCCAGCACGGCCCUCAGGCCAGGACCACAUGGCCCGGGCAGGGCCCGGUUGGCCUUUUAUAUAUUUUCUUUAAAUUUUUUAAAUUUAUAUAGAUUUUUUAAAAUUUAAAAGGACCAAAAUACCCCCCAAAAGUUAGAAAAAUCUAAUGGUUAGAGGGAUUUUUUGUCCAAAAGUUUGAAAUUCAAUUUUUUUUUUUACUUUUUUCUUAUAUCUACGCUGGAAGGAACGGGUGUUGGGAAAUAGGCCACCCCCUCCCUCCUUUGUGGGCAGUUGGUCCCUGGACAGUCCAGGGACCAACUCCCCCAAUAGAGGCUUGGGAACUUUUUUUUUGAAUCCUGUAUAUUUUUUUAUUUAACUUUUAAACUUUCUUAUAUUCGUAUUAUAAGAUAUCUAAUAGUUAUUUAAAAACUUUUAAGAUAACUUUUUUUUUAAUAAUUUCAAUAUAUUCAUAAUAUAUGUAUAAAGUAUAAAAAAUAAUAAAAAAUUUUGUUCUAGAAGGCAUGGUCUGCAUCAUGUGCAGGCUGUGCCGGACCGGGCUAUGGGCCUCCUUAGCAGAGCCAGCACGGCCCCUGGCCAUGCCAGGCCGGGCCGGCCGAUGGGGCUGCCUGGCCCGUUUUACACCCCUACUCAGACAGCUAGAAAUAUGGUAAACCACUCGGUCUGUUUUAGACAAUUACACUUCACUUUUGAGGAAACAGUAUUGAAAGUGAACAACCCUCACACACAACACAGACUACAAAAUAGUCGCUCCAUAGAAAAAUAUGCAGAAACUAGUGCAACAAAACCACAUAUAUGCCCCCAUCCAUUCUUCACCUAAUGUUUAGCUGAUUAAAUGAGUCCAUUGAAACCUUACAACCUAAGAUCCAUGAGCUUAAGGUUUGUGUAUUCCUAGUAAACUAAAAAUGAACUCAUAUUUUGACAAGGAUUGGAUAAAGAAAGUCACUUACAGCAGUAUAGCAUGAUUUUUCAUGUGCCGAAGGUUUCCCAAAAUGGACAGUCCUUGUUAUAUCCGUUGUACCAUCCAGAUACUAUAAGAAUAUGCAGUGUAAGCCAAUGACCCAUUGAAAGAAUAUAAUGUAAAACCAUGAAAUCAAUGAGGUAGGUUAAGGAAGCAACAGAAAAGGGCAAAAAAGAAGAGGUGUGGAAGAAACCUGUGCUCCCGAAUCAAAUAGGUAUAUUUUGUCAGCAUCAAGUUCAGAACAUGUACUUGGCUCUGGAGAAUAGUGAAUGACUGCUGCAUUUGGACCAACUGAUGAAAUGGUAGGAAAACUCAAUCCUCUGAAGUGCUGAGGAAAUAAAACAACGGUUAUCAAAAUUACAUAACCAUGAGAGCAAAAUAUGGAAUUUCAACAUUCAUGAUAUGAGGUUUGUUCAAACAACAAAGCUGAAGUACUUAGGCUUAGCUUGGUAUUGAGGCGGAGCUUGGUAUUGAGGCGGAUCUAACGCUAUUAGAUAGAAUGGAGUUGAGAAAAAGUAUAUAGGGAUAUGCUUCUGCUUUCUCCGAUAGGACCGUAGAAAAUAUAUCACAACCGACUAACCACAAUAUAUGGAACGGAAUAUUACAUACGGAAACAAACAGGGUAUUUUCCUAUCGUCGUUUCUCACCGCACGUAACGCAAUCUCCCCGCAAUCCCAAACGAAGCCUUAGUUGGCAAGCAACACGAGUACAAAGUACUUAGUUGGCAAGUAACAUGAGUACAAAUGACUUUCUUAUAAAAUAAGAACCAUGUUCUAUUACAACUUUUCACAUCUUCGUAUGGAAGUUCGCAUACUUCCAUAUCACCAUAGGGGGUAAAACACAAUAGAAGAUGUACAACUAGUAAAACACUAGAAGAUGUAAGAGUAAAAGAUGAUUAUUAAUUCAGAAAAAGAAUGAUCAACAGAUUCCUAUAGUAGCAAGCACGUGAAAAAAAAAAAGAAAAAGAAAAAGUGAAGCAGCCAAUAUUUCCACUAAGGAAAAGAACUAGAUGCAAAACAGUGACAUCAAUAGAAACUACAAGCCAAUGAGUGGCCCGAAAGUUGGGAAGCUUAUAGUUAAAAAACCAUGAAAGUAGUGUCUAUAUUUAUCUCAUCAUCUAUAUUCUAUAGUCUAGCCUGACAUCCCAUGAUACCCUCCUACUAGGCAUAAAUAGGUAAAGACUACAGAAGGAUAUCCUUGGCAUGUAAUGGUGAUUGAACAGGUAUUUUAUAUCAAAUUAUAAGCAAGCAGUCUCAUGUUUGACAAUGAACCCACAUAGGAUGCUCCAAGAUUUCAAAAAUCUACAGUAGUAUCCUAGAUGUUCUAGUUAAUACAGGGUCUGGCACGAACGAAAUGAGUGCAGCCUUUAACCCUCGUAAUUACAGUUAUUUCUGUGACUAAAAUAUGAACAACUAGGACAUGGGAAAAGUAAUAACCAUCGCAUAAAGUGAUACCCUCAUUAUUUGCUCCAUUUGACCUUGUAUAGUACAAUUUUUGCAUUUCCUGCUAUAAUCAAUAGGGGUGGUCAAAAACACAGAGUAUCACAGUGUAGAUUAUUUUCAGUAUGCACAUUUUGUAAUCUCAGUAAUUACAGUACCUAAUCCCCUUAUGUAUAUUGCAAAUUUAUGUAACAACUUGAUGAGCUUGACAGACUAAUGCUAUAGUAAAAUAAGGAAAUGUAGAGAAAUCAAGAUAUUUCAAGUUUUCAACCAUAUUUUUGGCCCUCAAAAAUGAUAAAAUAAAAAGGUGGCCAAUGAGAAAGCUAAUGACCUUGGAAACAUAGUUUAAAGAGAGUACUUAUUCCAUUAGAAAAAUCACAAAGCUUAAAUAGCACUAGAUAAAGCAAACAACAAUAACAGUUAUCAUUCCCAUAAGCAAUCAUUGUGCUGGAAAGACUUCUUGCUACUGCUAGGUAAAAUUCAUUCCUCAAGUUGAUAACCUGAUUGACAGAAUCUCAUUGAAAUAAAAGUUUGUCAAAUAGUUGCCAAGUGACAAUAUAUCAGAAGGCAUACCUCUUGCUUGGCACGAAAACCCUCUAGUUUGUUACUCACAGAUACCUCAGGAAGUUUUACAGAAUUUCUGCAGGAAUCAUAACAGGAGAGAAACGUGACAAUGGUUGAGAAUCAGAUAUACAUAAAAGAGCGGAAGAAAGGAAUGGGAGAGCAGCAGUCAAAUGACAUUACUUCGUGACAAAGUUUCAGAUAUAUACUAUAUACAAUGGUAUCUAAUUUUCCUAAUACCACAGUUCCUCUGUAAAUAAAUUUAUGCCUUAAAUAAUAUUACUUAAAAAAGUUGGAGAAAGUAAAUGGUUUUCUUUGAAGAUUAAGCAGCUAUGAACUGAUAGAUAUACUUUCAGUAACACCAGCUGACCUAGAACUGACAGGAAACAGGAAACAACGGGAAAAGAAGAGAAAUGGAAGAUCGAAAGCAUGAGAUAUUGCAUUAAAGCAUGUCCAUAAAUAAGUAUUAUAUCAUCUCUAAAUUGUAACUUACGAAUGUUUUCUCGUGUUUGACCCAUCUGGCUCAUUGAAGUAACCAGCAGCUCCAUAUAUCUCCUGCAUCUGCAAUAAAAGUAAAUGCAGCUAAGUCAUAUCUGAUAUAUGCCUGGCAAAAAUUGCAACUACUGCAGUAUUUGUCAUCGUAAACUUCCACACUAUGUUGAUAACCGAGUUUGCUCCAGGUUGUGGUGGCAGUUAUUGCAAAUGGAAGGGGCACCUAUGAAAAGAGAAAUUCAAUGAUCGAUUCUCUUAACAGCUUACUAAGACUGCCAACUUGAGCUUCUAGGGGUGGCUAUAAAAGGACAGAUUCAAUGAUCGAUUCUUUUAACAGCCCAUUAAGACUGCCUACUUGAACAGCUUCUCUAAUUCAAAAGGCAGCAGCCAGGUGCACAUUCUUCACUGGCUUAACUAUAUAACUUUUACCAAAUUAAUUGUCUCAUGAUUCACAGAUCAUAUAGAGCUAGAAAAUAUUGGACUAAAGGAAACUAGGAAUGAAUCAGAGCAUAUAACACAUUUUGAAUAUUUUCUUAUUGAUUCCAAACUAAGAUAGUCACCUUCAGGAUGACUUCUAAAAUAAACAGCUGCAAAAAAAUUUCUAAAUAGAUUUAACAGCAUCAGGGUAAUUAAAAGUGAAUACAAUAUGCUAGCUUUCUUUUCUUACAUCAUCACCUAAAAUAUCUGCUGUGGAACUUUCAUUUAUAAAAUAGUUUUUGGUAAAUAGUUUUCCUUCUUGUUCUCAUGUUCUGUCUCUCCUUACUAACCUUUCUACCUGCAUGGUUCUGUACCAAAACUAACACAUUUUCGUGAACAUAAAUAUGCUUUCGAAGUUGUUUGUUGGAGAAAUCACUGUAAGGCACAAAGGCAAUAGUAUGUGAAAUUUAGCUUUAGCUAACCUGAUUAUCUAGCCAAACUAGAUAUUGGACAACAGCAGCACCAUCCCGAAUAUGCGCCUUCCGUAAGCCAUCCAGUUCUGCAUGAUUCUACGCAAUGACCAUCUAAGAAAUUAAUAAGAAUAAACAAUAUUUUCUUAUGUAUCAUAAAAGAAGAACAAUAAAAAGGAAAUUGCAGACAAGAGACGAUAUUUAAAUACUUUCACAUUACCUCAAACAUUUAAUGAUAACCCAAAAAUGCAAAAGCGAAAAAGCAAAGAGAUAUCAAAGAGUAAGUACUGCCACAUAAGUACUUCCAUUUAAUUUAAAUGAUACAUACUACUCAUAGGUGAGUCCACCCCACAAGAAAGAAAAGCAAAAAAUGAAAAACAAAACAAAACAACUAUAAUCAGUUGACACGCAAAAGUAGGCAUAGCCAUCAUAAAACUUGCAAUAAGCUGGUGAUAUCUAGACACAAGAACGCUCCUAGCCUACCAACAACCAACUUAGCAACCAAGCCAAACACAAGGAAUCACCUAUAAUGUACAAUAAGAUGACACAUUAUAAAACAUAUUUCUGACCCUUGACCCCUAAUGAAUCAACAUGGUACUGUCUUUUCAGUAAAAAUAAGAAAAGAGUCUCCUCUGCCAACUCUGCAAGCACAAGUGGCUUUGAAGUUGUUUAACCUUUGUUUUAUGAUGUCUUAAAGUUAAACUUAAAAUAAGAGACUGCCUUAGAUUUCUCCAACAGUCAUUGAGUAAUACAGAGACCUCUACAGCUACUGUAAAACCACUAUGCAGACAGAAAAGAGAAAUGGAUAAAUAUGAAAACAAGUUGAGAUAGUAAGUAUUUUACAUCUUCAAUUGGUUAAGUUAUAAAAAAAUGACGAGCACAAAAGAUUAGCUAUCAUGAUGCAAAGUAGAAAAUCUGAAUGAGAAUUUCACUCAAAAUGAAAACUGCAUGUAGAGAAUGCCAUCCCAGUAAAUGUUUUCAAAACAAUGGUCCUAAAAAUCUAGUAUCAUAAAAGCCGACCUCCAAUACUUUGAAUGAACACCAUUUGUCUACCUCUCCUUCUAAAUUUACUAGGCCUAGUUCAGUUUAGGUUUAAUCAAAACUCAGUUCUCCACAUACGAAGUUCAGUAAGGUCAAUUCCAGAUGACUCCAAACCAAAAUAUAGUUCUAAUAACUUAAGCCCAUUAAGCUCCUCUUCACUGGAAAAGGUAAUCUAAAUGAGAUCAGCUUAUUAUACCUUAACAGCUUUUGCGAGAGCCAAAGGUGAUGGCUGCAUGAAGACCUGAUCAGCAGCUAACUUUGAGUACAGGGCGAGAGAGCAUGAAUUUGGAUCAAUCCAAAUUCUGUUGUUUUUUGUCUCUUCCGCUGCAUUUUCAACAGGUCCUGUCACAUCUUUUCCAUUUUCUUCAACUCCAUGAGCUCCAUUGGAUUUCAGUUUCCCAGAUCCAAGCAAGCUUACAUCUAAGUCGACACUGCCAUAAUCCUUGAUUUCUAUUCCAUUUUCAGUCAUGUAAGCCUGUAUCUGCAUUCAGUCAAAAUUUAUAAAAAAGAGUUGAAGACAUUAGUGCAGGCAUACUUAAAAUUCAUUAAACAUAUACAAGAAUUACCAGCUUAUCAAACCAUGAGUUCUCCUAACAUCCUCUGAUAUAUAACAAAAUGGUUUUUGGACCCAUUAGGCCUAGCUUUUCAGCUUUGGUGCGAUUUGCCACUGGAGCGACCUGUUUGGGAGCCGCUUUUUGGGCUACGGUGUGUCUCACCAGCACAAAUAACAGCUGCACCACUAUACCUCAAGAGCUGAAGCUCUUGCAGAGAGCUCUGCAGCGCAUUCCGAUUAAUGAGAAUUGCUAGGACAAACAGAUCCUUGGCUUAUUUGAUGGUUAUCAGUUGGAAAUCUGACCUCCGUAGAAACUUUUCUUUUGUCCACAUAAAAGAAAGCAGAUUGCAAUGUCACAAUAGCAUAAGCAUGAAUCACCGGGCAGUACGCUACAUCAUUCCCUCGAACAUUGUACAACCAAGCAACCUAAAAAUGCAUGUACAAAAAUAAAUAAGUGACUACUAUAAAUAUUUAUUGUAACAAUAGAUGCAGUCAAAUAAACAAAUAAAAUGUACAAGAAAAAUAAACAAAUAAAAUGUACAAGAAAAGCAUGAAGGGAAAAAUUGAUACCUCAUCAAGAGUUGUGAUAACAAUGCCAUUAGUUUUCUCUUGCAGUAGCUUUUCUCUCAAGUCCUCUAACUUUUCUGCUACACUAUGCCCUGCAACUUCUAAUGGAUGUAUAGAUACAGGCCGAAUUUCCACAGGAGGACGGUCCUUCCAAACUUCAUCCACCAAAUUAGUGGACAGCUGAAAUAGUUUCUGUUUAUUCUUCGCAAAAGCAUGUUCAUAUCUUUGAGCAGUUUCCACAGACACACACCAUGGAUCGAUUCCAACAACAGCGGCACUUGGUAGAUUCUGAAAGAAAAAACACAAUGUUGGGAAGUUAAAUUGAUCUCAUGAUUAACGAUACUACAUAACAAGCAAAUAAAGCAUCAAACUAUACUAUUUUAUCAAUUUGAUAUAUCAUAUCCAGCCAAUCCAUACUGAAGUUAACUCAAGAAACCAUUGCCCAUUCAUGUUGCUAGUAAAUAUAAGUCAAUAAUCCAUCUCUAAGAAGAUGCUGAUCUUAAUCCAUAUUAGUUAUUUCAAAAUUAAACUUGUCACAAAAUGUCGACACGUAAGAACUAUACAAGGGAAAAGAAUAAAAAAAACAAAAAACAAAAAACAAAGUUACCAAAAGAAAAAAUAACUUCUCACAUCAGCUAUCCAAGUUUCAACUCCCGGGUCUUCUCCUAUACGCAUAAGCUUCCAUCGAUUGCUAAGCUGUUGUGUCGCUUGCAAGAAAUAUCGUCCAUCCGUCCACAGCAAUGCCUCACUCAUUGUUAUGAGAGCCAAACCUAUUAAAAGAUGUAAAAUUACAUGUACUCUAGAAUAGCAAGAGCCGACAUAACCAAAGUUUAAAAUCACAAAACAUGCAAACAUUAAUUUGAUGAUCAGAGAAAAUUAUAACCUAAUUACAAAUUCCACAAAAUUCAUUGCUUUGCAAUCCAAUCAUAAGGACUUCUUUCAUCAUUUUCAUUUAUCUUAUCAAUUUUUUUUCAUCUGAUUCCAUCCAAUAUCUAAACAAAAAUAAACCCAUUUGGAGUAAUCAAAUUUAGAAAUUCCAAAUUGUUAUUGUAGCAUUCUUUGCGUAAUGUACAUAAAAUAAGGAAAACACAACUAACUCAUAAUUAUAUCAAAAAAAUAUUCUCUUCCUUUGUUGAUCAUCUAAGCUAACACAGAAAAAGAGCAGUAUAACAACAGUUUCGAGUAAAUAAGUUCAUCUCAAACUAAAUUGGGUUAAAAAUGUUCGAAGCCUCACCAGCGCUUCCGGUAAAUCCCGACACAAAUUGCCUCCUUUUAUCCCUCUCGGAGACAUACUCACUCUGCCAAACACAUUGCACACGUUAGAUAUCAAACACUCCCCACUUCAAAUCAAACUUAGCUACAAAAAUUAAACAGUUUCUACACUCGACAAAACACGGAACCAAUCCAGCCCCCAAGGAGAUCAAUCGAGAUCCUAAACUCAGCCAAAUCGGAAGCGGAGAUGAACCCUAAACUAAGACGAUCGACGAUUCCUCCUCGAUCGAGAGGGGGAACCCUAGGGAGAGAAGGGCGAAGGACCUGGUGGUUGUCCUCGGAGGGGACGACGAGGGCGUCGAGGGGAGGGGAAUGGGACGUCAUUAGGGCUCGAAGAGCGUCGAGGGGAUCCGCCAUGGAUUUCGCUUCGCCUCGCUUCGCCUUGCGGAAUCGGUGUGAUCGUGGGAACGAAAUGGGGGAGGAGAUGGCGUAGCAGUAUUAUCGCAGGGCGCGGAUAUGCUGUACACCGGAGGGGGUAGUGCAUAGUGUGACUCGCUGCGAGGAAUCAACCAUUGAGUGGACCGGGUUCGCCACAUCAUCCAUGGACCGCACCAAGUUGUUGUACGGAGUAUAGUUAUAUGCUUCACAUGAAUUAUUCACAAAUUAUUAAAAAUUCAAAUAAAAAACUGUAUAUAAUUUGUUUCCAAGAAAUCGGAAUAAAACAUGAUUUUUUUGCUUAUAUUUAUUAUUCACGAAUAAUUCGAGUAUGAAACGGAUAAAAUUUUUGGAUAAAAUUUUUUUCUGAAUUAUUGACGAAUUAUUUGUGAAUUAUUAAAAAACUUUAUGAAUUUUGAAAUAUGUGGAUCAUGAAAAAAAAUGAAGAUGAAGGCGACAAUAAAAUUUGCUAUUAUUUUUUUUUAUCUAAUCUACUUUAUUUUGUAGCUCUGUUUUUUAUAUUCUUAAGAAUUUAUAAUUAUGUAUGCUAAUAGUAUAAAUUUAGAGAAAAAAACUUAGUUUAAUAACCAAAUUAUUGAUCUAGAAUUUUUAAUUGGUGAAUGUAUAAUUUUUAUAUAAAUUACAUAUCCGAAAAAUUAGUGAAUCCGUUUUUUAAGCCAUAUUUUUCAACAAAUUUAAAAAUUAAGAUACGAAUUUUAUUUGAAUUAUAUCCGUAAUGAAUUUUUACCGAAUCCGAAUUAACUAACUAUGAUGCGGAGAUACGGUGUCAUAAGUCUGGAACGAGUUUCCAAAAUUUUCACAUCAAACAAUUGGACGGCAUAAUAAGCUACUCAGUAAUAUUUGAUUCGGCAUUAAUUUUUUUUUUUACUGUGGUCGAGAGUUAGGAGUGUUGUCAAAUAUAUGGAAUGAAAUAAUGUAUUUGGUCGUUGCGUCAUUUUUCGAAAUAAAAUUAUCGUCUAACAGAUGAAAUAUAUUACUUUAUUUAAGUAUAAUAAUAAGAUCUUUGAAGAACAAAAAUCAAACUCCCAUCUUUCACUUACAUGAAGAAAUUUUUAAUAUAGAACAAGUUAUUAGAACAAGUUAUCAUCAUAUUACUUAUUCCGACAUCCAAAUAUAAUUUAUUAUAUUACACGUUAAAUACAUUCUGAAUUUUUAUUUUCUAGAAAAUUGGCCACUGCAUGUUCCGCUUGUACGGAAUAUUCUCCUUUGAUAGACCUGUAACUCAAUUGAUUGCGAAAGAAAGCAUCAGGUCCUUUUUUUUCUUUAAAAAAAAAAAAAGAAAAAAAAGAAAAAAAAAAAAAAGCAUAAAGUUCUUUCUACGAAGUAUAUUGUGAAAGUUUGCAACUUUACACAUUUUGUUCACAUGAAGUUGAGAACGGAAGUACGCACUAGUAACAUGAGUUUUGUAAGUUCUCUUAUAUAUCGUUUGGUCAGCAAAAAGCGACUAUUCUAGAAAUAGAUAUAAAUUGAGAUAUAAGCGGGGAUUAGAUUAAUUUUACCUUUUGGAUGAAAAUUGAAUUAUUCCUGAGAAUAAAAAAAAUAGCAUUUGAUUAGGUAAGAUGGAAUAAAAAUUUAAGUGGAUAGUUAUAAAUAAAAAAUAUUGAUAUCAUCUUUUUUUUUAUAUUAAAAUUUGGGAUUGCGGGGAGAUUGUGUUAUGUGCGGUGAGAAAGUACAUUGGAAAAAUACUCUGGUUAUUUUCAUACAUAAUAUUGCGUUCCACAUAUCGCGAUGAGUCGAUUACGAUAUAUUUUCUGCGGUCCUAUCGAAAAACUCAGAAACAUAUCUCUCUAUACUUUUUUCCGAACUCCAUUUUAUCUGAUAGCGUUUGAUAGACCUCAAUACCAAACUAAGCCUAACCGAUUUACCAAACAUACUUUAUUUUAGGGUUAAUUGCAUACAUCUCCAUGUAAAUAUAGUGAAUUUCAAAUAUAUUUCUGUAAAGUUUAACUUUCAUAAGUUAUUUCUACAAAAGUCAUAAUAUUUUCAGAUAUAUCCCUCUAAUUUGUUAUCGUUAGAGAAUCAUUAGAAAACUGUUUAUAUUUCCAAUUUUGCCAUCACAAAUAUGUUCCUCCAAAAGUUAUAACAGCAUAAUACAAAAGGGGUAAAAAGGUCAAAAAUUAACUAGGGUAAAAUAUUUAAUCUAUUGUUAACUAAAUUUUUCUAACGGAUUCUAACGGCAGGAACAUAUAUGAAAAUAUUAAGACUUUUAUAAGGAUAACUUAUGAAAAUUGAACUUUAUAGAAAUAUAUUUGCAAUUCAUUAUGUUUGCGGGAACCUGUAUGCAAUUAACCCUUUAUUUUAUAGAUAAUAAUUUAAUCAUAAAUUUUAAUACAUAGGGUUUUUAGUUAUUGCAAACCAUAUUUGGGGUGUAUGAAAAAAAAAAAAAAAAAAUCUAAAUAUUGAGCUAGGCUGGUAUACUAUCGGUAGGCGGUAGUAUGGAGACCUCCGUACUACCGAGUUGUUUUCAAUGAUGCGGCUUCUAAAUUGACGAUCGGCUCUAUUAGACUUGACCUACACAAUUUAAAGUAGUUGGAAACUAAAUUUCACAAUUUUUCGGCAUCAUUUACCUAUCAAACGAGUAUUAUAAAAAUGAACAGUUGAAAAUAAAAAUCUCAUAAAAACUGAUGAUAAAAGACUUGAAUUUAAGUUCAGAUGUACUAAUCUUACUCUAAAUAGUGAAAAAAAUUUCUAUAAAAAUUUUAUCAAAUUUGGAUUGUUUUACACCGUUAAAUUCACAAACGCAUUACAUCUACCAUUAAAAUUGUCAAUUUUGAGACUUUUUGAUCACUAGCCAAAUGAUGCCAAAAAAUUAUGAAAUUUAAUUUUCAAAUACUUUUAAUAGUGUAGAUCAAGUCUAACAAAGCCGAUCAUCGAUUUGGAUGCCGCAUCAUUGAAAACAAGUUGGUAGCACGGAAUCCGAUAGUAAACAAGUUGGUACCGAUAGUAUACCAGCCCAACUCCUAAAUAUUACCAUAACAAACAAAACUUUCAAUUUAAAAUGAAUAUUUAAAGUUUAUUUCUCACUGAAACAAACAAUGAUUACAAUUGUUAACUGAGUGAUGUUUUCACGAACCGGUCUACUGGACCAAGUCUGAUGUUUUCACGAACCGGUCUACCGGACCAAGUCCACGUAAUAGUUCCUCAUAAAAUGAAUAUAUUAUUAAAAAGUUGCUUUCUCAAUCAGCAAAUGUCCUUUUCAUAAGGUAUGCUAUGCUUGUAAACAAUUUCCGCAUCAUUUUAGUUAUCUAAAAUAAUAAAUAACUAUACUAUUUUUUUGUAAAUAUAUUAUCUGGCCAUAAUAAAUUGCCAUAAUUAAUUGGCAGAAAUAUGCGAAUCACAAUUUAUAAUAAGAUUAAAAAAUUUAAUUAUUAAAUUAUAUAAUUUAUAAAUUAAUAUAAAAUUUUAUUUAUAAGCAAAGUAUUAUUCAACAUUUAUUAGUUUGAAUAUGGUGUAUAAUUAAGAACAUCUUAGCCAACUUAGCUAUACUUGGUCCUGUUUAUUGCAACGUAAGUAGACUUUGGGGUGAUGUGGAUUUUCGGUUGAAUUAGAGUUCAGAUGAAAAUUACUUCACAUCCGCUGUUUGUUUCUAGCAGUGUGAGUGAAGUUCUGUCUGUUCUGCUGUUUAUUUAGCAGGAAGUGAAUGACGUAAAAAAUAUAAUUCUCUACUUCCUCUAUUUGUUUCACCAAAAAUUAUUCAAUCCCCACACCUCUGGUAAACUUACUUCCUACAUAAUAUUAUUGUCUCUUUUCUAACUUAAUAAAUAAUAAAUUAUAAUAAAGAAAAAAUAAUGUAAUUACAUGCAUGUCUAUACAAUUAUAAAAUAAAAUUUAAAAUAAUUAUAUUAUUUUUUUUGUAUAUAAACUAUAAUAAUGCAACAAAUAAAAUUCUAAAGUUAAACAAUUAUUAACAUUUAACAAAUUAAUUUUUUAUCGUUUUCUAAUGUGCAAAUUAAAUAAAAGAUAUAUUAAAACUUAACUAAUCAAACUUCAUCAUAUUUGAAACAUGCAAUCUAAAUAAAAAAAUUAAUUAGUUCCAUAAUUAAAUAUGUUUGGAUGAAAUACAACUAGCAGUAAUUGAUAUUAUACCCAAAAUAACAAAAUGUAUCAUUCAUACCGAUAUCACAUCCAAAAUAAUAAUAUCAUAUCCAACCGACCGUCUCUAGAGCAAGUGGCAAAAGGCUUGGUGGUUGGUACCUGAGAUUCCAAGUUCAAAUCCUAGCUGAUUCACAUUUCUAGCUAAGUUUAUUUCUAAAUUAAAUAAACGAAGUAGGUAGCGUGCUACUUAUUUCUCAAAAAAAAAAUAAUAUCAUAUCCAAAAUGAGAGAGGAGAGAAGAAGAGAGAGAGAGUAAAAAAAAGAAACAUUCAUUCACUUCCUCGUGAGAGAGUAACCCUAAACAUCACCUUAAUUAAGUUCUCGUUCUCUUUUCCUUCACUUCACUUGAAUUGACUUUGCUCUUUGGGAGAGCGAGUCAAUUUCGGUGUUUUGCAUAAACCGGGCUUUCGACCGUAGUAAUAUUACGGUGAAUCAAACAGCGGAAGUAAUCAAUUUUUUGCCGAAAAUCACUUCCUUCCUUUUCACUUACGGUGAAACAAACAUGCCCUUAGAAAUUUCUCUUUACAUCUAAAUUAAAAUCUAACUUAUUAAUUUUGACAAAUUAUAAAUUAUUGACACAGAUUUCUUAUAAAAUGGGAUGAUGACUUUUUCAUUAAAUAAUGCAGGCAAUUAUUUCUCAAUCUUUAGGUACUUUGUGUUAGGAUUUGAUUAGAUUUGUAGUUGAUUUUCUAGUUAAAUAAGAAUUAAUAUUUAAAUUUAUUGAAGAUAAAUUAAUAUUUAAAUAUUAAUUUGAGUAUAAUUUUAAAUAUAUUAGGAUAAAUAUUUAAAUCUAUCGGAGAUAAACUGAAUUUAAAUUUAAAUAUUAAUUGGAGCAGAAAUCCUAAUCAUACUAGGAUACUUACAUACAUUUUGGGUGGAGGCUUAAAUAUAGAGCCAUGGUAUGCAAAUUGUAUAGAGCCUCUAGAGAGUAUCGCUGAGAGAGUGCCUUCUUUGGUGAAACCGUAUCAGAAAAAAGAAAGUCAUGGUUGCAUACACCUAGUGCAUAGGAGCAUGUGAGAGAGAAAAAGAGAGAAGUCUGCUUUUGUGGGUUUAUAGAAGAUGAGAGAAGGGUAGGAGAUUCAAAAAGAGGACUCAGGUUAAAACUACUCUGUUGCAGAAGAGAAGUUAGGUGUAAUCUUCUCUUAUUUAGUAAAAUUUUUUUUAUCCGCACAUUUUCUGUUUAGUUUUUUCUUUCUUUUGUGAUUGUAUCAGUUUUUACUGAAGAGAUGGAUUUAUGAUAAAAAUCCAAUUCGAUGCUUCUGUUGCAGAAUCUCAUUUUUGAAAACGGAAAAAAUGUACAAAAAUCCUUGACCUUCGCUUCUUUGUGAAAAAGCAUAUGAACUCAGCAAUUUUUGGUUAUCCAUAAAAUAAUUCAACAGGUCCUCGUUUGAAUUGAAGUUAUUAAUUAUACAAGUGUUUUGGUUGUAUGUUUUGCAUAUAAUCUUAAUUAUAAAACUGCAAAACAUAAAAGAAAUUAUUAUUUAUUCUAAAAAGCAAAAAAGAUAGAACUCAUUCACCUUACUCUUUAAUCUCCAUGCUUAUUAUCAAAAUAGAAAGAGAAAAAAUAGAUUUUUUAUAUUUUUAAGUUUUACAAGAUUAUUAUUAUAUACAUGAUAUUUGAUCAAAACGAUUGUGUAAUAGUAAUUUUAAGUGAGGACAGGGCCUACUAAACUAAGUGAUUAAGCUUAAGAGGUCAAACUGCUAAAAUUAAAAGUUUAGAAAUUAACAUGUUUACCAAAAAAGCUAAGGUUUUGGGGGUCUUAAUUUGUAUGAUUUUUAUUUUAAAAAUAAAUAAUUAUUUCAUAUGGUAUUGAUCGGAGAAAAAAAUUCUGAGUUCAAAUCCUGUUUGAUUCCUAGUUUUUUUAAAAAAGAAAUCUCCUGGCAUAUUGAGAGAAAAGAAUUAAUGAGAAAUUAAAGGCAAAGCAAAGAACAUGUAAGCUAUGUUUGUUUUGCUAACACUAAAGAACAUGAGUGAGCUAAUGCUUGUAAUCUAAGCUCACGACUCGCAACUUUUUCUUUAUCUUUUGAAUGAAAAACAGACACACUGUUUUUGAAUCUUUCACCAAAAACUUUCAAAGUUGAAAGUCGAUCAAUCUAUCGGAAGUUUGAAAUUUUACUAGAUAAAAAAUACGAAAUUGAAUUGAAAUUUUCAGUUCAGAUUUUAUUUUUUCAUCUAUUUCCAGUUCGAAUUCUCUUCAGGCUUUUUUUUUUUUUUUUUUUUUUGAAAAACUGAGAUAUAUAUUUGACUCAGAUUUAGCUUUUUAGAAAAAAUUAAUCAAACAAAUGGGCACCCCUUAUGUGUCUUCUCCACCCUCCCUUCUGUGAAACAACCGUUGUACUCUAAAAGCUUAAGCUGUUCUCAAUAACCGUUGUACUCUAAAAGCUUAAGCUGUUAGAGAACAGUGUUUAAAUAUUUUUAUAUUUAACACUCCCCCUCACGUCUGGGCUCGAGACUUUUUAAUCGGCCCAUGACGUGGGCUUGAAUUAAAUGGGAGAAAAUUAAUAUGCUAGGAGCCUGGCGUGACUCGAACUCAGGACCUCCUGCUCUGAUACCAUGUGAAACAACCGUUGUACUCUAAAAACUUAAGCUGUUAGAGAACGGUGUUUAAACAUUUUUAUAUUUAACACCUUCAUCCAUGCAUAGUAUGUAAAUUCAUAAUCAAAUCAGGGGUAUUAGACCUUUCGAGACACACAAAAAAAGUUUUAUCUGUCACAGUUAUUCUACAUGAAAUUUACAACAUCUAAUCAUACGUCACAAUAUUGUAUAAAGGUACAAGGAUAAAUUCUUUUUAAAGCAUUAUUUUGAUGUACAAUAAUUGAAUUCGUCAUUAUCUUACUUGACGCAGUAUGAUUGAUUUGAAAUAUAUUCUAUUUGUUGUAACAUUUACAAAGAAGAUUUUUUUUUUUCGAGGCAUCAUAGAGCAUCGAGGCAAGUAUACGGCAUCUAUUAUAUAUCCAAUAUAGGCCUACAUUUGACACAACAAAACUAUUUAAGUUCUGAAACAGUAAAAAUGCUUUCUAAGAUUUUGGGAGACUCUUUGAUGAUUUUGGUGAUUUUCUUUUCUAAAUUACUUUUUUGUGAUCAUUCCAAAAGUUAUGUCUUUGGUGAAGCUCAAAGUUAGUUGGUUCUUAAUUACAUGGAAAAGUUUUGAGUGCCAGAAUUUAGAUGAGCCUAGAAACUUUACUUCAAGGGAAGUAGUUAAGUCGAAAAUUGGAUAAUUGUAAGUCGUAAAUAAGCUUCUGAUUUAUGUUGUAAACAAUGUUGUACAAUAUAAAAGGAAAAAAAAAUCUUAUUUAUCUUUUAUCUAACAUGCAUGUUAAAUGGUCGAUCUGCAUUAUGCACAAGUGUGAUAGUUACUUUUCUGGGAGGAAAAGAAGCUAAUUAUAAGUUGCGUUUCAAACGGAUGGAUGAUGUGCUCAGUAUUAUAUUAUGGUUGGCCAGUUUAGCCUAGGUUUUGCAGUACAAGCAAAGGCUACUUAUAUAUAUCAACUGAUCUUUCCUUAAUGAAAUUGUAUUAAGAGGCUGCUACCUUAACCCUGUCGAAAAAAUAUAAAAAAAAAAUUGCAUUGCAGACUAUUUAGAUUUUUUUUUUGGAGAAGAAAAUAGCAUACUAUCUGUUUCAUUCAUUAUAAGUAUGAAUUAAGCAAAUAUGUAAGAUAAAAGAAAACCUCAACAAAAAUAAAAAAAAUCCUAAAAAAAAUUCUAAAAAUGUUGGCUUUUGGCGGAUAGAAUAAUCUUCCAGUGGGUUGCCAUUGUCAUGAUCUUAGGUACCGUCAUCAGAGGGUCUGCGUAAGUAUUUCUAAAAAUAGCACUAUUCCUUGAAUCUCAGAUGACCCACCAACAGACUAUUUAGAUUUUUAAUUGAUUGAUCAUAAGUAACGGAUACAAUUAUGUGAGAACUACUCUGUGUUCCCUCGUACCCAACUUCCUAACCCAUGUUAGUUAGUUGUUGCCAAUUUAAGUUUAAAAAAAAAAACGAGAAAAAAAAAACAAAAAAGUUGAAGUCGGCAGUCGAAGAGGACAAGAUAUAGGGACGACGCCGACUUCUUAACACCUCCACGCUGACGUGGAGGCAAGCUCCCGCCCGCGCCAGCUCAGCACCAUGGACCCCACCCUGGGCCCCACCAACCCCCUCUCCACCCUCCUCACCGCCUCCUCCCCCGCCCCCGCCGCCGCCGCCGCCUCCGCCGCCUCGAGCACCGCCGCGUAGUACUCAACACCCCCCUCCACCGCGCGCCUCAGCGACCCCGCUCCGCCGCCGUAGCCCUCGGCGUCCACGAGCACCGCCGCGCGAGGCGCCGCGCGGCGGAGGAACCGCACCGCCGAGGCGCACGAGGUCGACGGAGAGGCGGAGGCCGAGGCCGCGCGCGAAGUCGCUGAGGUUCUCGGCGGCGAGCGCGGCCUCGGGGGUCUCCUCGGCGACCACGGCGGUGACGCGGAUCGCCGGGGGCUGCGGGGCGCGGCGCGCGGCGACCUCGUGGGCGAAGGAGGACCACUGGCCCCCGAGGCCGAGGUCGAAGUCGACGACGUGCACCGACGCCGCCGAGCCCGCGGCGUCGAAGGCCUCGAGCAGGGUUUGGUUGGCGGUGAAGCUCGCGAACUGGGGGACGGGGGAGAGGUCGGAGAAGGCCUUGUGGGCGCCGAUGCGGCGGACGACCUCGGCGGCGGAGAUCAUCGGCGGCGGCGCCGCCGCCGCGUGGGGGGCGCCGUGGAGGAGGGAUAAAAGAGCCUCCUUGAAGUAGAACGCGGCGCGCUGGAGCGGGGGGCCGAGCGGGGCGGCGAGGUGGGGGUUGAGCCGCGCCAGCGCGAGGUCGGCCGAGUGGGGGUCGCCCGACUCCAGCGAGUCGGCGGCGCUGAGGAGCAGCUCGAGGUGGGGGCGAUCGAAAGGAGGAGUGGUUAGGGUUUCGAAGGGGUCGGAGAAGGGGGAGGGGUCGAAGGAUGUGAAUUGGGAUUGGAAUUGGGGGAGGUCGAGGGCGAGGUCGCGCUCGGAGAGGAUCCACGAAGAGAGAGGGUCCCACUCCGCCGCGGCUGCGGCGGCGGAGUUGGAGUCGGGGUGCUGCUGCUGCUGCUGCUGCUGCUGCUGCGGCGGCGGCGGAGCGGCGAGGCGGUGGAGGUCUCCGGCGGCGGCGGCGGCGGAGGAGGGGGAGGAGGUGAGGUGGGGGUCGAGGACGGAGGUGGGCUCGUAGUAAAAGGUAGUGGAGGGGAAAGGAGAGGUGGUUUGGUGGUGAUGGUGGUAGUGGUGGUGGUGGUGGUGCGGAGGGGAGGAGGAGUCGGCGCCGAGUUUGGUGGGGAAGGUGUGGGAGUCGGCGACGAGUUUCGUAGACUUCAUGUGACUCUCAACAAUUAAGCAACACUCCCCCCACUCUCGAUCUACGUUAAUUUAUGAGCGCGUGUGUGUGUUUUGUAUCGCUGUUGGGAUUUGGGAAGGGGAAGUGGAGGGUUUUACGUCGCAGGGAGGGGGAUUAUAUGGGUGGUGGAAUGAAUGAUGCUGAUGCUGCUGCUGCAGAUGAUGGUGAUGAUGGUGAUGAUAUGAUAUGAUGAUCAUGAUGAUGAAAAAACAUAAACAUAAAUAUAAACAUAAACAUAAAAGACGAUACAAUUGGACAUGGGAAACAAGAUUCAAAAGGGCUCUUUUAACGUGGUUCGGCUUCUGGGAGAAGCCGUCGCCAUUGGAAAGUGUCACUCAUGGAGGCCUUUUCUUUUCCUUUCUUCUUCUUUUUCUUUUUUUUCUUUUUUUUUAUUUUUUUUUUACCUGCAUGUAUUGACGUGUGAAUUGACUCGUAGCAGUGUCAUUCACGCUACGUCUACUACAGCCUGGAGACUACGGGUCCUAAUUCAAUAGUUAUAUAAUUUUUUUACUUUCAAACUUUAGUUAUUUUACAUUUUUUAAAUCUCUUAUUUGGAUUUUAGUUUAUUGACAUUCCAGUAUAAUAAGAGUGCAUCGCAGGUAUUUGUCAGGAUCGUUGGUACUAUCUAUUAAUUCUAAAAAUUCGAGCCGUUAAAAAUACGAUACGCAACCGAUUCAUUUAGGGCGUGUUUGGUUGCCCUGUUUUUUACUCUGAAAUUGCAAUCGGAAUGGCUGAAUCCGUUUGUCCAUAUUUGGUAUACGGGAUUUUCAUUCCGACUUCGAUUUCCAAAUGAACGAUAAUCCUCCCAAUUACUCAUUUUUUCAAUUCAGCCCUUUGAAUCUGGACGGAAUGAAUUUGUUCGAAUUAAAUUUAACUUUUUUAAGCUUAUUUUUAAUUAAAAUAUAAGUUUAAUUUUAAAAAUUAUAAUUAUAAAAUUUAAUUUUAAUUUGAACUUAAGUUAAAAUUUAAAAUUCAAUCAAGUAUUUCGAAUCUAAUUUAUAAAUUUGAAUUUAAAUUUAAAUUUAAUUUAGAAUCUAAAGGUUUUAUUCAAAUUUUAUUUAAAAUUUAAAUUAAAUUUAUGGAUUCAAAUUGAAAUUUAAUUUAUACUUUGAAGUUUGAAUUUUAAUAAAUCAAAAUUUAGUUUUUUUAUUUUGAUAUCCGUUCAAUUUCAAAUUUUAAUUUUUUUUAAAAUAUAUUUUAAAUUUUGACUUAAAUAUAUUUAAUUUUCAAUUUAAAUUUAAACUAAUAUAUUAUAAUAAUAAAAUUGACAUAUCAAUUUGAUUACGUUUCUGAUAUCUAUCUGAACCAAACAUCAAUAAUAGGAAUGGUUUAUUCCGAUUUUGAUUCAGAUGGCGAACUAAAUAGAAUGAGAUAAUGAAUCAUUCUGAUUCCAUUUUCAGCUUAUUCUCUUUGAAUCAAACACACCGUUAAAGCGUACAAACACAAUGCCCACGGGUCCAAUUGUGAUUUGGCGCAACCAACCUCACGCCACUUCGAAUAUAACUCGGUCCUAUUCAAUCUCACACCAUUUUAAACAUGACUCAGUCCAACCUGGCCUCCCGUCAUAGGGAAGAAUACUACCGACCCCUUUAAGCUAACAGUAUUUGUGGCAAUGAGUAACCUACAAAGGGAACCAACACAUUUUCCCUUCUUUACUUUUAUACAAUUUAUAAAACUAGAUUUAUUAGACUUUGUUCUUCUACUCUGCGAUGCGGUUUGAUUGAUUAGCACCAUUUUUUUUUUUCUUCCUCUUGAGGCCCCUGCUGCCUCACUUUAUGUAGCUAAAUUUAUUGACUGAAUAAAUGAAGCGUGCUAUUUUUUUUCUCAAAAAAAAAAGAGAAAACGUAUUAUAUCAAACCUAGCUCGCGAUUAAAUAACAAAUACGUAACUUGUGAAUGGUAAUGCCAAACUGCAUGCAUUUGAUAUGCGUCAGAGCUAGCUAAGAUCAAUGUCGCAAUUAAUACAGUUAUAUUUAAUAUUGCCACCGUUUUCUAGUAACUGCGAGAUACUACAUGACACAAUAACUUCUUCUUUUUUUUUUCCUUUGAUAAACAAAAACACAAAGUAAUGUUAAAGUAAAAAACCCAUAUAUAGGUUCUAAAGGGUCCCUAUAUAUGUACUUACUAAAGCUCGUAGGAAACUGAUGCGAAUAUAUAUACAGGUGAAGAAGAUAAGGUGACAUGAUCAGGGAGAUCAAAGCUAAACCACAUAUCCAAAGAAUCCCCACCACCUCAUUAGGGUCCCUCAUUAGAUAAGACUGUUUCCUUGAUGGUCUAUCUCUCUCCUUACAAAUGGAAAAUUAAUCAAUCAUUGCCUGCACCCGGUGCAUGCACCGUGUCAGUCGCGUGUUGCACUGCACUGUCCAUAUCCCUUCAUCCAACUUCAUACUUCUCGCUCGACCGUUAAACGUUAAAAAUAAAUGCUUUUCAACUUAGGGCACGGUUGAACGCGUGAUCACAUACUGUUCCGCAUAUUUACUUUGUUCAGUGAAGAGUGCGAUUAGCUAGCUAAGAUGUCUACAAUUAUUUUUACUGAUCCGUGAGAUAAAAUAGCCUCCUAACUGCAUUAUCCUAACAAAAAUGAAAGUGGCCGUUAGCACCUCAGAAGGGCCAAAGCUGAACUCUUAUUAAAUCGUAAAUUGUUGUAGAAUAACUUUUCAUGAAUAUCCAAACAUGUCUUUUAGAGAAAAUUGAAACUCUUUAAACAUGCUGUAGAGAUUUAGACCAUACAUGUUUGGAUGUUAGAAUAAAUUAUCCAAUGAUAACUUAUUCGGUAUGAAAAUUAACUUGUGUAACUAGAAGAUCUUAGCAUUCAUAAUUUGACAGAACAACAUAUUUCACUUACGAUGCAAUUGUCUUAUUCUGAAAAAAUAACUUAAUGGCUGAAUAUGGUAUCCACUCUAACCAUUUGAACAUGCUUCUCGUUAAUUUACCAAAUGCUACAUAUUUUGUAAGUAAAUUAUAGGGAUACGUUUUGGAUAUAUAAAAUGUUGGUGCAUUCAAACAGAACCUUAAAGUAGAUCAUAUCUCUGGAGGGAGACGAGUGCAACUACGGUGCAUGCAUGCAUGCAUGCAUGGUGCAUUGGGUGCACGCAUGCAACUAAUAUAUGUUUAUCAAUUUCUCUUUUCCCCAACAUCUAACCCCAUCUCUCCCCUUCUCCUUUUUCCAUGAGUGGAUUAUAAAUGAUGCUCCCUUUCUAUAAGGCUUUUCCCAUCAGAAUAUGACGGGCCUAAACUUUCGUGUAACACAAGCCUCUUCUCUUCCUACAAGCUUAUAACGUGUAGGAACCGUGUCCUAAACCCUAGCUAAUAACAAAGCUCCUCACAAGAUAUACUUUGAAUAUGAUCAUUGAUUGACAAGAAAAGCCACAAAUGAUGAGAAUAUUACUUGUGCAUUAUAGGCACAUGUUGUGGCCUAUCGUUGUUGGAUCUUUUUAAUUAAUUACUCAUGGGAAUUUCAGCCAUAGUGGACAUCAGUGUCAUUAAAGUUGGUUUGUUUUUGCUGAGAAUAUAAAAAGAUAGAGAAAAAAAUAUAUAUCCUACUUAAUUAUACAAGUUUUAUAUUCUUUACUUAUGCUGAUGCGUCAGUUUCUUAUAAUUUAAUUAACUUUGCAGAAAACCACCAUAUAUCCUAUAUAUAAUCUCAUAUUCAAAGUAAUUAUAAAUAAUUUCUCCUAAUUAGCAUUUUUUAAUGCAGGCUUCGACUUAAUUAGACUCAGUAUCUCUUACAUCUAUGUAUCUUCUUUACUAUUUAUAUAUUUCCACUAUUAAAUCUACUCAUUGAUUAAUUUCAUCUGUUAGAUUAUACUAUUGUACCAAUCAUUCACUAAACCGUAGGGGAUCACUGUCAUUCCAACCCUAUAAUUUCAGCACAACUCUCUCUCUCUCUCUCUCUCUCUCUCUAUAUAUAUAUAUAGUUAAGAUAAGUGUCCUAAAAGCGAAUUUGUUGAAAAAUCUUUUGCUCACUCACAGAAGUAUUAUUAUUAGAGAAAUACGAAAUCUACAAUCCAAAAAAGGAUGCUGCAGUAGUAGAAUCCUUAAUCCAAAGGUUGUAACCUGGCUCUCUGGGGCUCAAAAAAUCUUUUUAAAAUUUCAAUAUAAAAAAGUAAUAAAAUUAGUAUUAAAAAAUUUGGUCAGUAAAUGAUGGAUUUAUAGGAUUACAACCCCAUUUGGGUUGUAGGAAAAGCACAACAUACUCUUCAUGCACUAAUCUUAUCAAAGAUCAUUAUUUACUUAUAUGGAUGUCUCUGUUUCUUCCAGUGAAGGUCUUUAAUAUUAGAUGUAAUAUAAUUAGAUGUUAUAUUUAUCAUUUUGAUCAUAAAUCGUGUCAUUUUCUGGUGAAUUACAUUACGUGCCCAAUAAAAAUCUUUCAACUCAGCAUGUUAGUAAAAAGUUAUAAAUAUAUAUAUGUACAUGAUAUAUAUCAUAACUUUACUUAUGGAAAGCUAGCUUUUAAUUAAUACGUAUCUUUAACUUGGUAGUUAAAGGUGCCCUAUAUAUCCUUGAGGAAUAAUGAUCCUUAAUUUCCUGGGGAUUUAUUAAGAUACAUGCAUGCAUGCAUGCAACUUUCAUCUUUCACCUUUUUGUGAGUGCGGCUAUUAAUUAUUAUCUUCUUCUGAUUGAUCCACUACAGUUCAAGUUAAUUAAUUGAGCUUCACUUAUAUAUAUAGUUAUUUAAUUAAUUUACAUCUAGGGUUUUGUUUACACAAAUGGGGUAUAUAAUUGCUAGUUAAUUAACUUUAUAAUUUGCUAUAUGAUCUACAUAACUACAUAAUUAGGUACGUAGUUCCCCUAAAAAUAUACCUAAUCAUUGGUUAAAGCUUCUACUAGAGUAUCGCAUCCCCUUUUAAACUCAAAAAAAAAGACCACUUUGCGCUGCAGUUUGUUUACUGUUUAGAUGAGAACAUAUAUUCAAAAAUAAUUUGCUUUACAUAAUAAAUUGCUGAAAAAUAAAUGUUUAGUGUUUUAGUGUUAGAAUCUUGUGUUCAAACUAGUAGGACAAGUAAUUAUUUACUUACAAAUAUAUACUGAUCUAAAUGUGGCAGUUUAUAAUAUUGUUAUCUAUAUGAAUUACACCACUCUUCUUGUGAAUUACAUUAAUCAUUCAAUAAAAAUCCUCCACGUCAGCAUAUUAGUGAAAUGUCGUACAAUUAAUACGUACGAAUGUACUGAUCAUGUACAACAUCACUUGUAUAAACCUUUUAAUACAUAUAUUCAAUUUGUUAGGUAAAAUAACCUUUUCCUGGGGAUUUGUUAAGACAUGGAUGCAACUUUCACCUAUUGUGUGUGGGGCUAUUAUUUAUCUUAUUCAUGAUCACAGAUCCACAAAAAAGUUCAAGUUAAUUAAGAUUAAACUUCACUUACACUAACAAUAUAUAUAUAUAUAUAUAUAUAUAUAUUAUAUUAAAUAUAUAUAUAUAUUAUAAUAUAUAUAUAUAUAUAAUCAUUAAAGUUAACUCUAAAUUGGAUACGAUCAUCCGUAGAGCAAGUGGCAAAGGGUUUGGUGGUUGGUAUCCGAGACCCAAGUUCGAAUCCUAGUUGAUUCACAUUUCUAGCUUAGUUUAUUUCUAAAUGAAAUUAACGAAGCGGGUAACGUGCAUCUAUCUCUCUCGAAAAAAAAAAAAAAAAAAAAACUUCUAAAUUGCAUUAAAAAGAUCACAUUUAUUGUAGCUUCUUUACUGUUUAAAUAGGUGAGAACACAAAGGGAUAGCAUGCUACCUAUCUCUCUCUCAAAAAAUAAAAAAAAUAAAAAAAAAUAGAAGGUUAAAAAUCAAAAUAAAAAACAUUAAUUUGGUGAAGAGCAAAUACAAAAGGCUGGAAUUAAUUAACAUCUUAUAUGAGAGAAUACUCCAAUUAGCUAGUUUCUUGGUAGUUUAACAUAUUUUUUAUUUUACUAGAUGAUUUGAAAAAAAUCAUUUCUAUAUUCUGUGAUUUUAUUUUUAUUUUAUUUUAAAUAUUUGCCGUUUAAUAAGAUUGUAAAGUUCUACAUUCUAUAAACCACAUAUUAAUAAAAUAAAAUGUAAUAAUAGUUCAUAAAUUUUAUUGUAUUAUUCUAUAGCUGUAAAUUAUAUUAUUUUACUUAAUAAAAGAUAAGAUAAAACUUAGAUAAUAAUAAAAUUAUUUGAGCUGAUAUUGUUUAGGGAUGCAAACAAAACGGAUCCAGAACGGGAGAAUUUUUUCAUCUCCCGUUUUAUUUUUAGGCGGGACGAAACGGAUUUAGAACGGAUUAUUUUUUAUUUUAUUUUUUACUCCCACUUAUCACUCCAUUCGAGGCGGAUCGGAGCGGAAGCGAAUUUUUGACGGAUUGAAGAAAAAAAGGGUCUCCCGUCUUUCGCUCCGGUUACUUAACGGGUCGGAAUGAAUUCGAGACGAAUUAUAUUUUUCUAUAUUUUUUGCUUUUACUUACCACCCCAUUCGAAGUGGAUAGGAGCGAGAGCUCCACCAACCCGGAUCCAUUUACAUUUCAGUUUUUAUUUGCAAACAAUUUAACGGACAAAAUCGCUCGUGGGCCCACCGGCCCACCACGGAACAUAUUCCCUUGUGACGUCACACUCUCAACUCCUUUUCUUCUCUUUUUUUUUUCUGAUUUUUUUUUUUUUAAAUCUAAAAGGUCAGCGUGGUCCGCACGCUGACACGAGUUAGACCCGAACAUGCACAUGGCAUGCUCAUGCAUCACAGCAUACAUGCAUGCAUGGUCAUCACAUGAAACGGGACAUGGCCGACAAAAGCGCCAACGUGGGGCCCGCGACUAUGCAGCCGUGUGCUCCGCGGUGCGACACGUGGAUGCGCGUGGGUCCCAGCUUUGUUGGGGCACUAUCAAAAAAGUGGGAGCCGUAAGUCUCGUGCAAAAUGUUUAAAGAAAAGUUUUUUUAAAAAAACAAAAAUAUUUUAUUAAAAAAAAAAAAAAGAAAAACUUCAAAUACCCCCGGUGAUUUCGUGCUUUCUCACUUAGUACCUGUGAUUUAAAGUGUAUCAAGUUAGCAUCCUAUGGUUUCGCACUUUCUCACUUUAGUACCCUGUGGUUUAAUAUUUCGUUAAAUUAUUUAUAAAAACUUUAGUUACACUAUCUACAUUUAUCGAAUAUUUAUUUUAGUACCUUUUAGUUUUAACUUUGUCACUGAUUUAACAAAAAAAAUACCCCGAAAUGAAUAAUAAAAAAAAAUAAAUAAAACCACAGAGUACUAACUUGAUAUAAAAAUGAAACCACAGAGUAUUAACUCGAUACACUUUAAACCAUAGGGUACUAAAGUGAGAAAGUGUGAAACCACAUGAUACUAACUUGAUACACUUUAAACCAUAGGAUACUAAAGUAAAAAAGUGCGAAACCACAGAAAAUUUUUAAAGUUUUCCCAAAAAAAUAUUACUAUUUUUCUAUUUUUGCAAAAGUAAGUCUUUUUUUUUUUAUUUUUGCAAACUUAGGCUAAAGUUUUUUUUAAAACUUAUCAAAAUAUUCAGGUGCCUUAAACACUUCAUCUAUCCUCCUUUCUCUAGCCAUGCCUCCACCACUGGCGGCAUUUUCAAGCAUUUUUCUCAUGUCCACCAUCUCAAUGCUAACUCUUCUGUCGCGUUCACGUAAUGAACACCUUACGAGCGAAUGGAAUAUGGUGAACUCAUGCUCAUUGUCGUGACCACUCAAAGCGCUUCGCCGGAGGCAAACGAAAGUAGCAAAGGUGGACAGCAACGAUUGCUGGUCGAGAAUGCUUACGAAAUAUGUUUAUAGUGAGCAUGGCCGAUGGCAACGAGAUGGUGGUGGUAGUGAGAGGAAAAAUUUAGUGGAUAACGCAAUAUUGCACUAUUUCUUAAAAAAUUGUACUAUUCAAAUAUAUUUUGCAAUAUUUAGCAACAAAGUUAUACUAUUUUGCUAUUUAAUAUAUGUAUCAAAUAGUGUAAUUUUUUGGCUAAAAAGUGCAACAUAUAUUCGAAUAGUGCAACUUCUUUUUUAAAUAGUUCAAAAUCGCGUGUUCCUAAUUUUUUUUCUCUCACUAUCACCACCACUUCACCCCCGCAACCAUGCUCGCAAACCUACUUCAAGAGCAUUCUCAAUCAGUGAUCAUCACCCUCCUCCGCCACCUCCGCCUUCAUCUUCGAAAAUGCUGCGAGCAGCACCACCCUCGUCUAUCCGCAGUGACCUCGCUAGAAAACACCAACAGCCACAACCACAUCCACGACCGAGUCAUGCGUCGUUAUUGUUCUUUUGCUCGUGCAUGAGGUAGGGGAAGAGUGAGGGGACGCGGGGCGAUGGAGAAGGUGUGAGAAAAAAUGGGAAGAGAAAGAGAGCAAGGAGAGAGAAUAAAAAUAUUUUGGUUAUUUAAAAAAUUUGGGGUGAAUAUAUAAAAGCGGAAAAAUGGCCCUUUUUUGAAAAAAUUGCACAACUAUUGAUUUUUUUUUAAAAAAAUACUUUUAAAGUAAUAAAAUUUUAAAUUAUAAUUUAAAAAUUGAAAUCUAGCAUAAAUUUGGACCGCAUAAUUUUAAUAAAAUAAACAGAUAAAUGUAAACAAAAUAGAGCACCAUUUAAAAUUUUUCAGAUUAAUUUUAAAAUAACAUACAGUUUUAAUAGAAUAAAGUGAAAAUAACUCAACGGAAUAACUAUACCAUUGAAUACAAUUUAAGUUUUAAAUUUAGUGCAAAGAUUACUAUUUUAACAUAAUUUAUAUGGUAAAUUACACUCUUGGUCAUCGUACUACGAGGCACGUGACCUUUUGAUCUUCAAACUUUAAAUUUGGAAUUAUUUUAGCUCGAACUUUGUAAAUUGUUACCAUUAAAUCUCACAAUUUAAUUUUUUGAACUAAACAUUGAUAAUUCGAUAAUGUGAAAGUGAUAUAGAUUGAUGAUGCACUAAUAGUAAAAUACUUGAUUAUAAUAAUUUAUAAAAUUUGAAUAAAAAAUUAUAGUAAACUAAAAUUUAAAAGAUCAAAAUAUCACACAUCACACAGUUUGGGGACUAAAAGUGUAACUUAUCCUAAUUUUAUAUUAGGCCCGCCGAAUCAGAAGAUCCUUGGGGCGUCUCACACGGCAACAAAUUCAGCUUAAUUAGACUUAAAAAAAGGGGAAAAAAGUUUAAACUUUCUCAAUUAAUCUUAUAACGUAAUAAUCUUAUCUAACAUAGCAUGGCACCAAGAAAAGCAAGGCCCUUUCAGUAGACUCAAGGAAAAGAGAAACAUGGUUAGAAACCAAAUGUAAUAAAAAGGUGGAAAAAGAGCAACACAGGAGUAUCAUCUCGAGUGCGUUAAUCCCACAAAUUUCUACGAAUGGAGAGCAACUCAAUACCAAAAGCAAGUUCACUGGGAUUUGAUAUUCCCUAGAAAAUCCUCCUGUAACACCAUUUGUAUGGUACAGAUAGAAAAGAAGAUAUCAGUGCUACUUUCUAAUUAUAACAUGUUGGUGCAAAGAACUAUUUAUCUACAAAAGGAAACAACAGUCGGUGACAUGAUUCAUGUGCCGAAUGCGGUGAUAUACGAUACCACGACGGUAAUGUCGUCGAGCUUUCCCCCGUAGUAUCGAUAUCCUGCGUCCUGGGCGGCGCUCGAGAAGGGUGUUUGCCGGUUCUUAUCCAGGGCCCGCUGGCGAGCCAGAGCGGCUAUCUUCUGGGCGGUCACUUGAGGUUCCAAUCCGGCCCGGACGGCGUGAACGACCACGGCGGUGAUCUCGUUGUUGUACAAGUUAUCAAAUAGCCCGUCAGUUCCCGCGACGACAACAUAGCCGGAUUCGACAGGAACAGUGAAUACCUGUUCAGCACAGAAGUAGGGAAUGUUUGAUAGCUAUACUGCAGUAACUUUAUCUGACUCUUUAUUUAUGUAAAAGGCCUGCAAGCCAGAUAUUCAGAACGAAUAUGUAACAUAUUAGAGGAGAAGAUGAACAUACCUGGGCAGCACUAGGCAGGUCACUUGAAUUGCCACUCUCAAGCUGGUAAGUAAAAUUGAAGUCAUGCUGCUGCACAGGUGAUCUGAAGAUUGUGCAUCCAUCUCUAACAACUAUGAAGCCACUGUCGCCAAGGUUCACCGCACGAAUUCCCUGUAACCAGAAAGCAAACUAAGAGAGGUUAGCCAUUAGAGAUGCCUAGAAAAUUAUAAAUGCCGAACAUAAAAGGAAAGUUCACACCCUUCGGUCCUCUGAGAGAAAUUUUUCGAUAGAAAGGGAAAAAACAAAUCUCCCAUUACCUUCUUGGGUUAUUUUGUUUAAUUAGCAGGAAAAGAGCAGCAUAAGAAUUUUAUUAUUUGAUUUGAUGUGAAGCUUGUUCCUGAAUAGUAAUAACUCCACUUAUUUGACCAUGACAUGAACAGUUCACGAGAAUAUGUAUGCAUGAAAAGGUUAUCCCUAAUGCAGUAAUUGCCUUGAGCAGAAAGAAUAGUGCUGUGAUUGUUUGUUAUUCUAAAAGCUCUGCGAGCAAGAACUCCAAAAGAAUAAAGAUUUGAGUGGAGCUAUGCAUGAGAAUAUACAUAUGUAGCUCCACCUAAGCACAAAUGUAAAUACACGAAAAUGCCCAUUAUGCAGCAAAUUUUUAUUUUAUUUAGUUCUUGAAUACCAUGGCAAUUUCUUUUACCGGAAUGCAAAGAAUUUGCCAAGAACUUCAGCUCAACCCCACAAACCUCAAUUUGGCAUAACGUGGGUUUGUAUAUUUGAUCCGUCUAAAUGAACCUCUUUGGAAACACAAUCCUAUUUUUUGUGACUAUCCAACUCAAGCAGCUAAUUAAUGCUCUCCUGUAAUUCCCCCCUUGUCACUCAAAUUUAUUCUAAAUAAUAAUAAUACUUUUUCCCAAAUCUAAAACAGAAAGAUCUCUAGUCUCUACUAAUCACCUAUAACCAUCAAAUCUUCAACCUUUCUCUAGCUUUUUCUGACAUAUCCUAUGACAAUAUCUGUUUUAAACCACCCUCCCUCUUUUCAUUUUCAAUUCAAGAAACCCAGAACAACGAAUAUUUCCUUUCCAAAUACUGUCAGAUCCUCAAACAUUUGUACCUCUGUAUCUAUUCAUCUUUCAUACAAGUUAUUUUUCAGGAGCAUGAAUUUCAAUGAAAGGCAGUGGAAGCACACUAGUGGCUAAUAAAGUACACCAGUGGCUAAUAAAAGGCAGUGGAAGCACACUAGUGGCUGAUAAAGUACUCUCAAAUGUUAAAGAUAUCUGCCUAGUGAUCGAUGAUGCUUUGUCUGAUGGCAGCAAAUGAGCACUGCAAUCGAUCAUAUAGUCAUCCUGAUGAACCAAUCUAUGCUGAACCCACUUCCCUAGUUAGCUCACUAUCUUUUGUUAGGACUCCUCUUACCAAGUUAUUACAAUUGUAUCAACGCUAAAUUCUGUUGGUUGUGCAUUUCUUAGGGGCCCAUCUCCAUUUCUGCCAUGAUUAUUCAAAAGUGAGAAAGAAAUUAUAUAUCAUUCUGACAGGCAUGGAGAAGCUGGGCUGACAGCAUACGCAAUAAUAGUUUGUAGUCUAGGUGUCAUUGCUUGGUGUGGCAACAACAGAUUUAGGCUUGCAAUUUGAAAAAUUCGGCAGGUAAAUGAUAUGAAAUGCCUGAAAGAGAUGAUAUCAAAGAAAGAAACCAUAGGUGCACAAUAACCCGCGAAACAGUACAUAAAAGAAAGGAAUGAGCAAACCUUAUCUGUGAGAGCAAUGAUGCAUGCUGUUGAUGAUCCUUUGGCUUUCGUGCUCAUGUAAGCUUUCUCGAGCACUCUUACUGGAUCAAUGGAUCCUUUUGGCUCUUCUUGUAUAGCCACCAGUGAAUGAGACAUAAGCUCUCUAGCAUACUGUCCUGCAUCAACACCAAGAUCUGCCCAGCCACCAACACCAUCAGCCACUCCUAUGGCCUGUUCAUCACAUAUAAAAUGAGCAUCUUCUCCACCAGUUUCUUCCUUAUCGGGGUGUGGCAAGUAGCAUGAUCCAGAUAGCAGCUUCAGGGUUCUCUCACUUGGUUUGUUCCUGUAACAAGAAUUGUAUAAAAUAUAAAUAACUUACCAACCUACAUAGUUCGAUAUUUAACAUUAUUCAUCUUUGACUAAAUUUACAGAUACACAUCUAUGGUAAGAGUGAGAAGCACUCUCUAAAAAUAUCCCAGCUAAGGAGGCUAUUUACAGGGGAAAGGUCCCACCAACCAACAAAAUUCAAGUGGGAAAAAGGAUGGUUCCAUUUUAGCUGUUUUAUUGGCUUAGAUAUCUUCACAAAUAUUUUAGCAAUAAUAAAGCAAAAGAAAAAGACUAAAUGCCUGAUAAAAUUAGCAGACAACAAAGCUCACAAAACUAAAUUGAUAAUAAACCAUAGUAAAUUUUCAAUUAGUUUCAGAAUUAUCUAUCUCAUAAAGUGAAAACAUGCUAAUUCCACAUUUUUCCAUGUUUCACUAUUUCUUCCAUUUUGAUCUUCUUUGAAUAACAAAAAUUUCAAAUGAUUUGGUGAAAUUUGAUAACCGGGAAAUAGGGAUUCUAUUUUCUCCACGAUCAGUUCAGUAGCCAAUUAGUGGAAAAUAAGGAUAAAUCUGGGGUAUUCUCCUUAUUUUUUAAAGUAAAAUCAGCCUAACAAACUUGGGAUCCUCUUAAAUGUAAAAGUGAAAUUUCAUCUCAACCAUUGCUCAUAGAUUUUAAACAGAGGAAGCAAUGCAAAUAAAAAAAAAAAGAAAAAAGAAUUCACAUACACUUUUGCUAUACUUUCAAUUUCUGUUCCAUGUUUUAUGCAAGUUUAGGGGGAAUAUGUACCAGGACAGUAAGAACUAUUGAAUCUAAUAUGAGUUCUCAAAAUUAACACAAUUAUUGGCAUCUCCGUUGUCUAUAUAAAAACAGCAUCAAACAUGGGGCACCCCAAAAGAUGUAAUAUGAAGGAAUGAACUGUGUACAUUAAUAUGCUUAUUUUAUCUUAGGACACAGGCCAUUUCAAUUGUUUCUGGUGUAGGCCUUCAGACUAGCAAAUCCUCCUACAACCUUACAAUUAUGGGCUGCUUUCCCAACAGCAACCAAACUUUUUGUUUUCUAGUCUUUCCAAAUAAUAUUAGCUGCUCAUUUCUCUUCAUAUAUACAAAGCAAGAAUUGCACUUUAGGUGAUCAUGUUCUCCCCCAAACAGAAAAUGCAACUAACAUAAUAAGUGCAAGUCCCAGCCAAAGAGAACAUCCCAGUGCAGAAGGCUCCACCAAGUGCAGGUAUUGAGUGCAAAAUGCACUCAACCUAACCUAAAUUAGAGAUGAGAGUAUUAUCGCAAGUUAAACCUACACUUCCUAGAUGACUGGAAUAACCAUUCACUAAGAUAAAGCCAUCACUGAAAAGUCCCAUCUACAACGAGAAAUGGGAAAUUACUGACCAGUUUCCAUAUAUUAGGUGCAUAACUACAUAUGCAGUGUAUAAGUCAGCUAUGAACGAUUAACACUACAUUGUGCUUUCCUUUUCUUCUGGAGCAUAUAACCAUACAUAAUCAGAAGAAUAUAUAAUUAAGAUGAAAAACA
rnacentral:lncRNA from 1 species